UCUUGUCUUGUCCUAAUUUACAACUUGUCAUUUCAAUACAAAAUAUUGAAAAAGGAGAAACAAAUUGAAGAAAAAAAACCAAAAAAAAAGAAUUUGUCACAAGAUGUUGAUAAUCGCCUGCUUCUUGGAACACCCUAACGAAAACAAAUCAUCUUCCCGAGAUCUCUUCUUGCCAACACACUCUACUGCGACGUCGUUUGGUUUCUCGUUACUCACAUUGAAAAUGUUGACUCCGAAUAGCCUAACCACAGUCUGAACCGGACUAGACCGGACUUUCCAGUGGAUAUACAAUUGCCGGUCUGGUCCGGUUGAUCUCUCGAAACAAACCACAUCACCGGCUCGAAGAUUCUUCUCUUUAACGAACCGGCUCCAGCCCUUGGUCAACACGUAACUUUGACUGCUGUUCCAGUAACUGUAACGGAACCGCCACACUUUCCCUGUUCUAUCUUCCAAGUUAAUCAAAACGCCUUUCGUCGGAGACGGAUUCAUCCCCAUCGCCGUCGUCAUCGCCGGUAACGGAAAAUGCUUCUCCGCGUGUUGUUUCGGUAUCACUAAACGGUUCAGCUUCCCGACGUCGCUCGGCGUAACAGUCUUCUCGAACAAAACCUCACGCGCUCUCAAAACAGCGUCGUUUCCGUACGUCGCCGUCUCCAACCCAGAGCGUUUUCCGUCGCCGUUAACAAACUUCCGUCUACUCUGCUCAAACUCAUCGGCGUAAGUGUGUUUCCUCAACAUAUCCACGAUCUCAGCUUUAGAAUGAGCGUCAAGAAAAGCCGAUUCGGCGUCGUUUCCAUCAACUUGAGAUUUGAAGUUAGUGACGGCGUCGCGGCCGCGGAAUCUCCUCACGGCGAUGUCGUAAGAAGACGCAGCUUCUUCUUCCUCGUUGAAAGUACCGAGCCAAACUCGCUGAUGCUUCUCGUAAAUCUGAGCUCCCCAUCUUCCGUUAGGCUGAGGCACAACGCCUUUAUAUUUCGACGAAGGAAGCUUACGUGACUCGGUCUCGACGCCGUUCUCUGAAUCCAAAACGACGCUGCUUCCGCCGCUUCCCAUUCUGUAGAGACGCAUCGACGUCGCCGGCGGAGAAGAGAGUUUCUUCUCCGUCGUCGUUGUCGGCUUUGGAGUAGUAGAGAUGGAGAGAGAUUCUGACGUUGUACUACUGUCGUCUACACAGCUGUAUUCCAUAUUUGUUGUGUUUGUGAGAGAGAAACAAAAAAAGAAGAAGAAAUGGGUUAAGUUUUUGUUGCUUUAUGAAGAGAUGGGGUUUGGAGUUUAUAUAUAUACACAAGGAAGUGCAUGUACGUUGUUGAUAUUAUUUGUUUUGUUUUGUCAAAAUUGAAUAGGAUAAUAAGAGAUAAAUGUAAAAUGUGGGUAAUGUAUGUGUAUUUAUGAAAGAAAGGUGAAAAUAAAAUAAAAGAGAAAGGAGAAGAGGUGCAGAGGAGUAGGGUCAAGUCUUGCAACAAAUGGCAAAAUGUGUUUUGUAGAGGAAGUUUCGUGGGAAGAGUCCAAAAAUAUGUGUGCUAGUGUCAUAAAGUUUUAUUUUAUUUAUUACAUUCGUACUAAUUUUGGUACCUUUUGAUUAGUCCUUUUUUUAUAAUCUUGUUGUUGCCAUAAUUAGUCCCUUCAUAUGGUAAUAAACUAAUAAUAUAUUACGUGUAACAUGCGUCUAUAAAAAAUUUACAGAGAACGUGAACAUCAAUAGAUGAAUUUUUCUUAAUGUUUUCACUAAAGGACAAAGAAUAAUUACAACACUAGCAAUGAGAUUCUUGAUGUGGUUAAGAAUGGUAAAUAGGGCUAAGAAAAACCACAUUUGACAUUUCGCCCGAUAUUAUUGAUGUUUUUUUAAGAGAAAAGAAGUUUCCAAAAAUCGAAUGGUCCAUACAAGAAUAGUAGUAGAAAGAUAUGUAAAAUUAUUGAAUAGAGUUGACUCGUUGAGAGAUAGAAAAAUGAGUAAUGGGCGAUGUGUAAUAGCACAAAUGGGGAUAGAAUAGAGGGCCAAGUGGGAAGGGGGUUCACAUGAGAUUUGGACCUUUUGUUUUGUUUUGUUGUGAUUCUCUAAUUAAAUAGUGCAUCCCCCCUUUGAUCAUGAGGCUUUUCUUGAAACUAUAUUCGUCCUUCCAUAUUUGGAACAUGACGUGUCUCUUUACAUAUUUUGCUUUAGUUGGGGAGGUCUUGAUCAUUAGGUUCUCUUAUGUUUCCUACAAGUCCUUACCUAGUUUGGUUUUUAUCCCCUAAGCACUUUCUUUGUACGUAGAAUCAUAGUACGUAUUGUUGCCUUUCUUACGCAUUGUCUUCCUUUACGCUCAAUUUCUCAAAUUAACCAAUACCACUCAAAUAGGAUAUGUUUUCCAUCCUAAUUCCUAAAGUGACUUGUUCGAAACAUAUAAGAACAACUAUUAUUUUGACGGGUAUGAAAUGAGACGACCUAUAAUAAUAUUUUGAGAUAAUGAUAAGACAACGUUGGAAUACGCCAGCAAAGCCAAGACUCGUGAUCUAAUUGCCCACUAUUUUCGGUUUACAAAGAGAAACAACAUAUCUUAUUGAUCUUAUUAGAGUGACUAGUCCCUUCUUAUCUAUGCACGAAGCUUUGUUUAAGAUCACAUAUUUUUAAUAAAGAUACAUGAAUGACGUCCUAAUAUUGUUAUAGUUCUCGAAUAAGCAUCAAACGGUCAGAUUUAGUUCUUCGUGGCUUCGUUAUUUGAUCAUAAAAAUUAAUCCUUCUAUGAUCCACCAAAUUAAACAUAUAACAUUUUUAUCAAAUUGUACUACUAUUUGAUAUUAUAUACGCAUAACAAAGUACUGCAUGCAGAUUUAUUCGACUAUUUUAAAAAGUAGUGAGACUUAGUUGAUGUUCCCACUUGCAUUGGAACUAUGCUUUUAUUGGCUGAACUAAAUAAACCAGAUUCGUCCUAAACCAUCAAACUCUCCUCUGUUUCUCUUUUGUUUCAUUAUAUAGUUUUUUUCUUUCUAUUUAAUUUAUUAUACCUACAUAAUUUUAAAAAACUUAUAUCCACGUCGUCGAAGAUAAAACUAACACAGUUGCCCUAGUUUGAAUGCAAAACUUAAAACGUCAACUUUUUGUUGUUUUGAUCAGUUUUCAUAAGCAAUAACUAAUGAGUUCAAACAUAAUUAUUGCUCAAUUAUAUGAAUUGGACUUAAAUAUUUAAGAUAUCAAGAAUGGGGACAAGAAGAACAACAUGAUAUAAUACAUUGUACAUAUGUGAAGGGGGGAGAUGAAUCAUAAACCCAAUGUAUUUUGCCCAUGAGCCAUAUUCUUGUACGGAGCAGAGUACCUAAUUUUUCCACUUUUAUAUUGGUCCUACCUUCUUCCCUCAGAUGUUUAUCCAUUUUGUUUGAAACAAAAGUAAUACUUAUCCCCUUUUUAAAAGAUGAGCAUAUAUAUACUUGUUGAAUAACCCUAUCAUUUCCUCAAAUAAAAUAGUAUUUAUAAGUCUUCUGUUGAAGAUAAUGAUCUCAAGGACUUAAAGCUUAAAACCGAGCUAGUCAAUGAACCAUUUGAUUAGUGGGUCACAUACUCAUCAGAGCUCCAUUAUAUUCUACCGAAAAAAAUCAAAAUUCUGAAAUGGAAAGAUAAAAUAGUUGAUGUGUGACAUUAAAUAGAUUAAUUUUUAAAAAGUGAUUUCAUAUUAUCUUGGAUCUUUAUCAAACAACAACAAGCUAAAAUGAGUUUGGUGUGUAUGUAUAUAUCAACGAACUUUAUAAGGAUAUUUUAAAUCUAGUACCACCGGAUACAAGUUUAGAUUUAAGGAAAUUUAUGUAUCACGUCUCAUUAACUUGCAAUUGGUUAUAUCAUCCACAUCAUUGACCUUCUUAUGUCGAAACUUUAUAAUAGUAGGCUCUUUGUUUUUUUGGUCUGAUCUUACCUUACUUUAUCUAAAAUUUCGAUUAAACAGUAAUUUGCGUUUGCCUAAAAAUACAAUGUUGGUCCGUCUCAAUUAUUAUCAAAAGUUAUAUCACUUUUGGUGGAAAAUUAAUCGGAAGAUAGAUAGACUCAUGUGUUGAAUACAUGUAAUUAACAUGCAAGAUUGCCACAUAACAUAAAUUAGUUGAGAAGGGUUUGGUGUAACUGGAAACGGUGUCGUUUCAUUGAAGAAUUGGGCCAUGCAAUAUUGCAAGUGGGAAGACAACGAGUGAGAUAUGUUUCCAAGGACGAAAAGGUCAGCACUCAGCACCAUCCUCCUCAUAAUUUCUUCUAUCUGGACCCAAACUUCAUCCUAUUUUUAGUAAUAUUACAGUUCCAUCUCAGUCGUUCAUUUUAGAUUCUUAUCUUCCAUUUUGGUAUAAUCAAGAGAAUAAUAUAUACAUUACUCACAGAUAUAUCAGUCUAUAAUAACAUGAGAGUAUUUUUGUAUUGGGGAUAAUCAGGUUGGCCAAACAAAUCAACUCAAAUCCAGUGGAGUAGUAAUUUAAUAACAUGGCCUAACUUAGGCCACCUUACCAAAACUAAUUAAGUUGUAUUAAAUCAUUUAGUGUGUGGCUCCCCACAUUUUCUUAAUUAUAAAUAAAAAACGUGAUAUUAAGCAUGCUAUUUAUAUAAGUAUAUAACCAACUCACUGGAAACCUAAUUUUUAAAAAUCAUUAUUGCAGACCUAAUUGAUGUAUUUAUAGUUUUAAUUCCCGAUCAAAUCAGCUCCUUAUACUAUGCCAUUUUAUAAUUCUAACUGUGAUGUUGUGAUGUGUUUUGACGGAUUAAUUAAUUAUGGGGAAGUUUUACAAAAAAAAUCAAUUGCAAUUUUAUUUGCAAUUAAUUGAUCAUUUUUGCAGAUUUUUAUGGUACUAAUUAAGUCAAUUGACCUCCUUUUUUUUUCUCCUCUUGAACAAAUUUCAACCAUUUAUAUCAAUUAAAAUGACGAACUGUUGGCGAAAUGUCUUUUGCAACAAAAAAAAUACUAGUUGCCGGAACAGUUUUUUCAUAAUACAGUAUGAUGGGUUUAGGCGCAUACUAAAGCCAUCUUUUGGCCAACUUUUAUGAUAUAAUUGACCUAUAUAUAUAUAAUAUUGUAUAAUAUUGUUUAGAUAAAGUUAGUUGUUCCAUGUGAUCAACAAAAAAAAGUUAGUUGUUCAUAAAGUAUCAUGCUUAAUAUAAUGAAUGUAUGUUCCUCUUGCUAACAUAUUAAUCCUGUAUAGUUUCCAUUUUCCAGUUAGAGAGAUAGUCAUUAUUAACAUAAUUAAGUAUAAAAGUAUAUUUUCAUAUAUAAAAGUAUCUAUUGAGUUAUUCUAAUGAAACUCAAUCACAUAUAACUUUUGUCAAAUGCGGAAAUUUCAAAACAGACAGUAGGUAAGGACUAAGGGGAACGAAAAUUUUCGUUUGUGCAAAGUAAAUCAUGAGUAAACAACCCCAUUAUAUUAAUCAAUCUCCAGUUUCCACUAACUAAACAAAACCAAAACUAAUUUUCAAUAAUUUCCACAUUUAGGGUUCCAUGGUUUGUUACUAAUUUUUUUUUUACUUGAAUGAAAAUGUGUUAUUAAAUGUUAUAAUAUCUGCUUUUCUGACUUCCAACCCCUCUAGAUCUUAAUAAGUUUGAGUAAUGAAAUUUUGAUUUUCACUGGUAAAUAUAUAUAGCACGACCAAAAUCACGUAAUUAAAUUUGAGUAUCUGAUAUUGCAUUAUAAUGAAAAAAUAUAUUAUCGAACUAAAUUAACCAUUUGCAUAGACGCCUCAUAAAGGUGUAAACAACGUCAGAUUGAUGAGAAAAUUUUACCAUAUGAUAAUUAAAUUUAUAGACUAAGGUUUAGCUAUUUUUAUAUUUUUUGUUAGAGUAAGUAUUAAGAAGAAUUAUAUAUAUAAAAAGCCAGAUAGGACAAGAUGACCCUUUAAAAUGAGGAAGACAAUACGUAGAACUUUAAUUUUAACUAUUUUAGGCUGUCCUGAAAUAAAAUAGUAGGUAUUAAACUACUACUAAUAUUGAUAUUUAUAGAAUAGUGGUGACUGGUGAGCAAUUAAAAUUUAAAAAUAUUAUUAAAAAAAACACAUGUGAAAAUAAAAAAAGGAGACUGCUUUUGUUGACCAGUAAAGGAACAACACUAUCCAGAGAAUCGUAACCAUUGGUGCGAUCCACGACGGCUCCUGAUCCGACCUGAAUGGCUUUGGAUGUUUAUGCCAACUCGCCAUUGGUUAAGACUUUUAGUGACACUUGUUUUUGUUUUGAGUGAAAUCGUGUUGAAACCAUUUUGCAAAUACAGAUUAAAAAGUGCAGGAAAUGUUAUUAGUAGCUCAGAUAAAUAUCAUAUGUCAAACUGAAACAUAGAGUAUAACUGCAUACCAUGAAAACAUAAUUUAGUUGAAAUAAUAAAUUGAAAGAACAACGUAGCAUAUAUUUUCUUUAUUCACAUCAUCAUGUCAUGCUUAAAUAAUAGAAUAUCUCAUAAGAAAUUGCCAGCUUCUGACUUAUAUCUACUGAAAUCUCAAAUAACCAAAUAACUAUGAAUAUCUAUUAGUAGGGAAAACACCCUUAACUAGGGCGGUGAGAGUGAUAUUGGAUUUGGACAUCUAUUUCUUUACAAUAACAAUUAUUCAAAUAAUUUUGAAGUAAAUAACAUGUUUUUUAUCUCGAUAAAACGUUAUUUACCUGAAACCACACUAUUUUAUUCAACAAUAAUAUAAAAUUUGUAUAUUCUUAUUUAUUUGAUGAUACUGUUUACACGGUCAAAUGUAAAUUUGCACGUUACUAAUUAGUAAAAUAACAACAAUUAUGUUUAAAUGAAAAAAUCAUUUUGGUCAAACCAUGCAAAAAUAAGAGGUCUGUUUGCUUAAGAUCAAUUUUGUUUUGUAAAGUACUUAGGAUCAUUUAGCAAAUUCAUCGAUAGUUGCCCUGUUCUUUUUGUUAUAUAUUUAUAUGUUUCCACUUGUAUGAUAUUACUUCAUAUUAAUCUAUACAUAAGUAUAUAAUAUCCGCCGUUAUAGGUUUGAACUAAAUAUAUUUUGUGGGAUUAAUGCGCUGCCUUCUGCCGACACGGUAUACGCACAACCCAACAUUUAUGAAGUCAAAUAAAUUUAUUUUAAACCAAUUGGCUUGCUAUUUUGUAAGUGACAAAAAUAGCCUAGUUUUUUUUAAAAAAAACAUUAUUUAAGCAAACUAUAUGUCGAUCUCUUACGUAUUUUUUUUCCUUAUAACUAUUUUAGUUUUUUCUGAUGAUUUAGUUUCUAAAGAUAAGAUUUACUUUCUUUUUGCCUGCUAGUUGCGACUCCUAGUUGCUCACUUUAAACCCUAAAGAGAUGUAUAUCUACACAUUUACAUGUAAUGUAUGUUUCAAUUUAUAUAGACCUUAUAUAAAAGUUUGUCUUCGUGGAUAUACACACACACACACACACUUAUAUAUAUAAAUUGUAAUGUAUAUAUUAUUAUAUCUAUGAGGUACAAUUGUACAUGUAGAGUACCUACAAGUCUAUCACAUAUUAUGGCAUUUACUCCAAAGAAAAAAAGUCUCCUCACAUGAAUUUGCGGGUACUGUUUAGGGUUUUCGUUAUGCAAUAUUACACGAACAAGUAAAUUUUUGUUGACAUGGAGAUUGAUUUUUCUUAUGUCGAUGUCGUAAUCCUUUUUGUGUACGUGGCGAUGAUCUGAACUAUAAUUAAGUUUAAUAAACUUAUGAGGUAUGAGUCAAUAGCUAAAUGAUGUUUAUUAAUCACGAGUGGCAAAGAGUUAACUACUUAUAUAAUGAAAACCCAUAAGACCCGGAGACAAUAAGCUUACGUACAUCGAGGUCAACGAAGUCAAUAGAAUCGCCAAAAUAUAUCUGUCCAGAGAGAUUCAUCUCUCAAAACAGAUUUAGAUAAAUGGGCAAAUCACGACUGGAUAUAUAUUAGUGCUCUAGUAUAUAUUGUGGAUAUAGAACUACACAUUUUCUAGAAAAAAAGAAGAAAUGAAAGCAUUUUAUCAAAGAUCAUUUGCUUUCUUGUAUAUUGAACUCCAUUCGCUAGAAUCGUAACUUGUUAUUUUCGCUGUUUUUAUUGGGGAUGAGAAACAAAUUAUACGAUCAUCUUAAUACUUUGCAUUAACAAAAUCAACAAACAGCUUUCUAUUGAUUUGAGAAAACGUUGCUCUGUAAAUAAAUUGAUAUAUUUGUCAACUGAUAAGUACUAGUACUUGAUUAUCUCAGUUACGUCAAUUUUUCUUCUGAAUUCAAUUAAGAUUAGAUUUAUAUCCAUUUGAAAAUCAACACGAGAAUAAAUUUUAGUAUAAUGUCAUUUAACGUAUAAAAAGUUCAAAUCACGUGAAAGAUUUCAAAACCGAAGACCAUAUCAAGUUGGUUGUAGUAAUUAAGACAUGCAUACUCAUAUCCGGUCAUUAAUUAUGACCUUAUAGAAAGACGAAAUUUCAUAUAUAAGUUUUGAGUUAUUCAAAUAUAUAUAUAUAUAGCAUGGAAGAAUUGAAUACCCAAUAUAUUUGAGUUUCUUUCGAAAUUCGAAUGACUACUUGGAGCUCCGAUAGAUAUAUCAUAAAUUGAUAACAUAAUCCAUGCAUGAGAGUGAUUAAUGUAUUUUAAGGAGUGUGAAGAUAGCCAUGGACGACGUGCAUGGUUUUUUUACACAGGUAAACUGAAACAUAGGUAAAUGCAUAUAUGGAAAUAAGAUUAUUAGGGAUAGGCUUUAGUGUCCAAAUCAGCAUUAUAGACGUAAACACUACACAACAUAACACGCGGGACCUGCAUGCAGUUAUGCUCCAGGGUCAAAUAUUCAACAUUUUCCAAUUGGCCACCGUCAAAUAUUCCAGUUUCAAGUGGAAACAUAAAAUCAAAAGAAAAGAAACUAAUAGAAGAAGAAGAAGUGUGAAUGGUACUUAAUUUACAGAGGGAAAUAUAUUAUUAGUUACAACUUACAAGUCAAAGCUUCAAAUGAGGAAUUAAAAAAAAAAACGUUACAAGUCAAACGAGAGAGAUGGAUACACGAGCCAAGACUGCAGACAUAACGAAACGUACACAACUUAUAGUACGUAUUAUCGUUGAUUUUCAAAUAAAACAUAUAUAAACAACAUCGAGAAGGAGAAAGAUGUAUUAUGAUAAGUAUGAAAAGUCUCGAGGUCGUAAGAUCGUAAACAAAAGUCAGAAAACAUUAUAAUUAAAAACAACAAGUGAAAUAAAAAUAAAAAUCCUCACGGGAUCAAUUGACAAACUUUGCAGCUCAUCUUUGUCAGGAGAUAAUAUUUGUUUUUUUUCCAAGUAUUUUAUGAAACGUUAGAGGUUGUUUCUUUCUUAAUUUUGAUGGUCAAACUUCAUUUUGAGACCAGCAGACUGAUAUAGCUUAGCCACAAAUUGUGGUUAAACCUCAAGAUUCUUCUGAUUUUAUUUUGUUAAGAGAAGAUUCUUAUAUUCACUCUUGAUCGUAAUAUAAUUUUCUUUGAGUUUCAGUGAACUAUUAGGAUAUAUGACACAAUAAAAUUUCUAGAAGUGAAGUCCCAGACACAAUCCCGUGUUCCUGUCAUUUAUGUUGGGAGGACGAACACAAAAUUAUUAUCUGUACCGUUAUGGGCUGAUCGGUGGCCCAUCUAGAAAUAUGUAUCACUGACUUUUUGAGUUUUUACCAUUUUCAAAGCUCUUCCAACUAUGGAAGAAUCAUCUCAUCUGAUGUUUCAUUCACUCUUGUGGAUGUCAAUACUGUAUUUACCUUCAUACAUAUAUAUAUAUAUAUUGGGACUAAUUUUGCCAAGGCCUACCAUGUUAUUAAGCACCGUCACACCGACAUGACCUUUUCAAUACAUAAAUAUUUCCAGUUUCUUAUUAUUUCUUUAAUUCUUUAUAGAAAAGUCGAUAAAAGACUCUUAAAUAGGAAAUAAGAAAUGAAGAAAAUAUACUCCCAAACUGAAGAUUUUUUUUAUCAACACAAAAAUGUCAAUCAUAGUUUUUAAGUCAGAAAAUAACAAAAUUGGACUUUUCUUCCCAGUAAAUAUAGUAAUACAGAGCAUACUUUACUUGUUGAGAAAAGAAGAGUAUUACUUAGACGAAACUAGAACUAAAUUCCAACCCCAAAAAGGAAAAGAAACUAGAACAUAAAUAUUUCAUUAUAGAGACAAGUUUGGUUAAUCCAUCCAUUAAACUCAAAAAACAAAAGUGAACAAUAAUGUGUAUGCUACAUUGCAGCAGAGAUACGUGGGAGAGGGCGUAAGUAAGAAUGUUUUAUCAAUUAAUAAUAUCAUAUCAUAUAUCUAUGAGAGACCCAAAAAAAAAUGAAAUUACAAUGAAAGGAAGAUCGAGUUCUUACUUCUUUGGUGAAUAUUUGCACACUCUUUUGAUCCAUUGCCCUUCUUUUAUGUUAUCUGUGGUCUUCUCGAGGAGUAAUGCUUCGUAUACUAAUUACACAUAACAAACCUCUAAUCCUCAUCUCAUUUCCUUGCUCUGUCCAAGUCAAAUCUCUUCCUAUUUCUCUUUCUCGGCUAUUGCGAAUUCAGUGGAAGAGUGGGCAUUCCUUUCGCGUGUUGGCUCUCCAUUUCCAGUAGCAUCAACGACUUUUGCCUCUGGUAUCUGUUUCUCUUUGCUGCUAGCGCUGCGCCACACAUACAAAGAGAGAUAUCAAGAUUCGAGAAUGUCCUUAAAUCUUCUUCAACUAUGACUAAGUUGGGUAAUUUUACUCACAUGUUAAAUCGUGAGGAGGGGCAAAGUCAUAAUCAUGUCUUCCUCUCCAGAUGCAACACAAGUAAAUGACCAAGAAAACCAGAAUAAGAAACACCACACAUGAUAUGGCUAUGGCUAUUUUACCCCCUUUGGAUAAGUGGCCAUUCUCCCAUAAUAGUGGACAUGUCGGAAGAGAUGGUACACCGCAUAGUCCUUUGUUUCCAGAAAGACUGUAAAAAGAUGCAGAUUAUUGAGAUAAUGGAUCAAAGAACAAAGCCAUGGAUAAUGAGAAGGAAGGUAAAAUUUUAUCACUUAUAAAAGAAAAAAGAUUAUUAUCAUAUGUGGACAUUCGACAUUAACGUACUCGAUAAUUCCACCAUGAACACCAACUGAGUAGACCUCCUCUGGUACCUUUCCUUGCAAUUCAUUGCCAUUCAAAAGCCUAUCAACACAUCAUAGAUAAACCAAUCAGAGUUUGAGUUAAAGUCAAUAAAGUUGGGUGUCAUUAAAACCUUGUUAGGCAUACUCUACUGAUUAAUCAUCUAAUACAUCAACAUGUAUUAAUAUUUAUCAUUAUUUCCUAGUCAAUUGAAUAAAAAGUGGUUGUUUAUGAAGCAUCUUCUUACACGAGCUUUAGGCUUGACAAGGUCAGACUUUCAGGUAUUGGUCCUGUGAGCUGAUUGUUUGACAAGUCACUGCAAUCCAAAUAGGCAAACAAUGAGCACAAAUGCACAGAGCCAGAAUUCUAUAUUAAGUUUCUCUAAGCCAUCCCCACACUCCAAUAUCAUUGUUUUAUCGUCAUCUUAAAGGCAUGCAUUUAUAAGAAAUAUCUACAAUUUAUAGACGCAACAAGGUAGAAAGAUUCCCAGUCAUGAUAAAAUUUGGCAACUGAUCAUGAACCGAGGUGUGUUAACUUACAGACUCACAAGGGAUUUAUGACCAAGACCCAAAGGUAGUUGACCACUUAAGGUAUUUGAACUCAAGUUCCUGCAAGAAAACAAAAGAAAAUUUCAUAAUUGCCUUUGCGUCUUUCUAGUGAAAUCACUAUGCCAACACAUGCAUCCAGUUGCAUUAUAAUGAGCUAUGAAGUCUGAGAUAAAUAAGCAAAGUCAAUAGUUGAUACUUACAGGCUAUUCAAAUUUGUCAGGAGACUUAUUUGCUCACUGAUAAAUCCUUUCAAGCCUUGGCUUCCAAGGUCUCUGAAACAGGAAAAAGACAAUAACAAACUCCUAUCUUAAGCAUUACAUAAUAAAACAUUAAUAGUAGGAAACCACAAUGCAUGCAUAAGAAAUAAUAAGCAUCAUAUAGAGUAAUAUUAUGUAUGUAGUUACUAUCUAUAGUUAACAUUAUUCGAGAUAAUGCCGAGAUACAUGUUUGCAACCCUUAAUCCACAGUAAAGGAAGAAAGAUGCAUGUUUAUAAACCACCCGCUCCCAUAUGAGUUUCCAAAUCAAGUUCUUUGCUCUUUCUGAUAAUAUUUGUCUAAUCAACUUUACUAAUUUUCAGCUUGCAUACACAAUGUGAAAGUGAAUAAGACAAGCCAGGUCGGUUUACUGUAUGCAACCGUGAGACUCACAUUUGAAAUAUCACAAGGGCAGAUCCUUGGGAAUUUGGCCGGCAUGAGACUCCCUCCCAAGCGUCCCAGCUAGUAGGAGCACAAGGAUCACCAUUCCAACCCAUUCUAUCAGGAACACGUAGUGAAUCCUUCAAUGCUUUCAUAGCAGUCACUGUAAAACAAACAGAGAGUCAAAAAUAUGCCACAGACCAGUUUUUCUCAAAGCUAUUAUCAGAACUCCAAUCAAAUCAAGAAACCCAUGAUGUUGCAAUCCAUCAAACAACAGUGAGUAUCCUUAACUUGACGUACCUUGUUCAGGUACUGUAGCCAUAUCAGCAGGAACAAUAGCGUAAUUUUCAAGCCCACUGAUAAUCGGUGCACCGGAAACAGACGACAAUUUCACUGUCACAAUAGUACUACUCAGAUUCUUCACAGUAUAGUUUAAACUAUAAGCUGCAAAUCCUCCAACCUCAUGGAACACAUCAACUCUGCUCACAUUGUUAUCAUUCACCACCAAAUCAAACACUCUUUGACCAGCCUUCUUCACCGUAGAAUCAAUCUCAGAAAAAUGAAACCAAAGCAAGUAAUCAAGUUUCGCAUCAACCUCAAGCUCAUAAACCAACGAACCACCACCAGAAACUGUAACCGCCGUUUGAUAAAGCUUCAUCGGGAAAUAAUUCGGCGCCUGAUCCACUCCUUUGAUUUUCUCCAACGUAGACAACGACCUAGCCACCGAUCUCGAAUCUUCCGAUCGAAAAUCUUCGUCCGAUUGCCACGACCGCCCGAAAUUAUCGGUGUGGUUAGUGAAUCCAGGUCCCCACUGAUCUGAACCACAAGAGAGCCUCCCAUAGUUAACCAACAAAACAUUCUGACCAGUCCCAUCGGCGUCGUACGAAGAAGGAUCAACUUGUAAGACUUCUAAGGAACCAACAAUGGGAGGAUCAGUAGCGAUGCUAUAAAAGCACAAAUCGAGCUCACCGUCACCGAUAAAAGCAAAGAGAUCAGAAUAAGAGCCAUCGCGGAGAAGACUCUCCGGCCAAGGAGAUCUCCAAGAGAAAACAAGAGUGCCUUCGACGGAGACAUCGAAAGACGGGGAAUGAGAUUUACCGUCGUAGUUAUCAUAAACGGUGAAAGUUCUGAGAUAGUAACGACCAGGAGGGAGAGGAACGACGUAGCAAUUCUUCUUUCCGAAGGAAAGAGGGAAGUACCUGAUGGUUUUCUCGGCGAUUAGAUGGAAUCGAAGAGGCUCGGAGACAACGGCGGUGCUUCCGCCGGAGUAGAAUUGAUCAGGAAGCCAUGUACGGUUGAAUACGUCUGUAGAAGUUUCGGGACUUCCACAGUCAAUGAAGAAAGAAGUAUCUGCAAAACAGAGGAAGAAUUCAGUUUCAGUUCAUAGUCAGAUCUAGACGGAGAGGAGAAAGAGAGAAGGAGACGUACUGAAUGGAGAGGAUAAGGAGAGGUGGAGGAGGAGGAAGAAGGAGGAGAGGAAGAGGAAGAAGGAAGGAGAGAAGGGCAUUUUGGGAAUUUAGGAUUUGAUAGAGUUGCAGAGUAAUGUAUGUAAUGGGCACUCACUACUGUGAUUGAAGAAGGAAGAAACCAAAAUUUGUUUGUCAAAAAAAUGAAGGAAAAAGGCGAGAUUAGCGGGUGGGAGGACUGAGUUGAGUCAUUUAAGGACAUUUACACACUUCUGGCUGACUUUUAAUUUCGCUUUUAUUUUCCCUAUAUUUAUGGGUCACUUUUUUACUACUUUUUGAUAUUCUGUUUUUGACUAAUUUUUCCUGUAAUAAUGCAAAUUAUGCAAUGGAAUUAUACAAGAAAAAAAAGAAACAAAAAUAGAGGUAUAUUACAUUGAUUGUUGAAUGAAGGGUGCACACGGGAUACGAGUAGAUAGUGUUACAAUUGUAGUAAAAAUGAGAGAGUGUGUCUCGCGAGAAGAGGCAAUAAAAAAAAAAAGAGUUACUACGUCGUCAGUGAAAGAAGUAAAUAGUUAUCGUGACGUGGCCACCAUACUGGACAAAUAUUCUCUCAUUCACACUAGUCACUACCUAAAUAUUCACCAUAAAUCUAACUAAAUCCCAACCAAAACUUUUAACUUUAUUUUCAGUACACACUUGCUACAUCUGAAAAUUCAGUUCUAGUUGGCAGCCAAUAAAGUCAAACCGAUAUAGUAUAGUUACAACCAAAAUAAAAACUCUCUUUUUCUUUUGACGAGAUAAUUAAGCCGGAUUUGUGAUCAUGGUGCCCACUUUGUUGUUAAAUGGGUUUUGGAUUAACUAUUAAGUGUAUAUUGGUCAACCCAAUGAUAAAUUGCUACUAGUUUGAUUUAUACUAAUGAACAAUGGAAUGAAGAACAAAAGAGCAACGUGGUUAGUGGUUUGUUACAGAGUGAUUGUGUAACCAUCAUACAACGCCACCGGAGUAAAUGUUAAAUACUAAAAGCUCUGAGAAUCCGUGACUCCGUCUACUUGUCGUUUUCCUUCACAGACACUACAAUAAGAAUGGACAAAAUCCGGUUUAGCUCACCAACUACCCGGUAUUAUCUGAGGACCAUCGGUUUAUCUUAUGGCCUCUGAUUCAAUGGGUUUUAAAAAAAGGCCAGCCUAUUACUCUGAGACAUACGUUUCCAGGCUUCAACGAGCCCAACAAGUUUCUGAACAAACUCAUCAUAUUCAUUCAGCUAUGAAUUUUGAUCUUUCCCCCUCUUGCCGCAGAAUUUCACUGCAGCGACGACAAAACACUGAUAACUAGAGCCAUGAUUGUUUCCUAACGGUUUGUGUGAUUAUUACAGUACAAUAAACAUUUAAAAUGGCCUAGGUUGUAGUUGGUGUUAGUUGAGCAAGGAACGAGAGUUUUGUAAGAAAGUUUCAUAGUGAAAUUCUGAAUAUAAUCCAUACAUCCAGAUUCCACAUUUUUGGACUAAUAAAACCCAUCAAAAGCAUCAUAUUUACAUACGGACAUUGCAUCUAAGAUCAGAAACACGUUCCAAAAGUAGUUCUUCUAAAUCCCAAAACAAAAAACCAAAAAAACAGUUUGAAUCAAGCCCUUGAUGCGCAAAGGAAACUACCAUAUUACAGCAGCGUGGCAGUGUGUUGCCAACCAAAAAGAAUCAAUGAGUUCCAAGGUCUUAAGCUCGUGGUAGUUUUGUUUAGUCAAUCAGUCUUUCCAGUCCCCCAAGCGAGAAAGCUGUCCUGUGAUCCAAAUUCCUAAACACAGACAUAACAAAAUCCAUUUGGCUUUUGUACCUGAUUGCAUUCAAAAUGUUUUAAGAGAAAGAAAGGGGUCUAAGCUUACCAGCUGGCUCAGACGAAACUCAGGUGGAGUAUCAAGCUCUAUGUUAGAGGGAUCAAGAACGAUUUUCUGACAUUCCUCCAGAUCACGUUUGAAGUCUUCUGGUCCUAGGUGUGCGUAAUCCGCAAUACAUGGUUGUUUAUCCUUUAAGCUUCCACUGUUUGUGUUUUCCUCCCUGUCCUGUGAUCCCAAGAGAUCGUCGCAAAGAGACAAGGCUUCCACAAGCUGUUGCGAAUUCAAGAUAAACUGAGAUCCACUGUCAAACCACGUCGGAUCUUCCUCACCUUGGUUUUCAUUGUCUCUAUCCUUCUCUUGCUCCUCUUUAUCAUCUAACAUUUCUUUUGCUCCGUUUUCAAGUCCGUGCUCCAGCUCAGGCCCAGAACUUGGUCUUUCAUGAUUAGGUUGAAUACUCUGAACCUCAUCUUCCAUACACAUUACCUCGGAUGUCUUAGGUACCGGAAACAAAGCAAAAAGUGCCAAUUAGUGCAAUUUCAAUAAGUUGUUAGAUAAUCCAAGUCGAGGGCAAACUACUUUAUUCAAUUCAGUAAGAGCUUAUACUAGAUUAAUGAGUAAAUCUCCACCCUCGACCCCAAUCUCAGUCCUAAACCUUAGAAAGAUCCUGAAUACGCAACUCUCUCCGCCUAAACUUCCAUUUCAUCAGUUAACUCUGUAGCUAACCAUCUCUACAAUAGCUACUGAACUGUCACCACAGCUAUAAUCCAGUACAAACCACCUACGGUAAUCACAAUGCUCUUGCACUAGACUACCACAAGGACUUAUCAAUAGAAAGCAACCACAAAGAUUCUUACCUCGGCAAGAGAAACCUCAUGGGCAGAUACAUAGUCACUGGGAGUAACAUAGUCACUGGCAAUGUGAGAAUCAGAGCAAAUUCGCACAGCAUUUCGAGGCUCAGGUGUAGCUAAUUUUGGAGUGACAGGAUCCGCUGUUGGAGUCACUGCAGCAAAGAUAUCCUCAGAGACUUCCUGUUCAGCUUUAUCACCUCGCUUGACUACUAGCUGUUGUGGCUGCUGGUAGAAAAUCUUAGAAACAACAUAAUCACCUUCCUUCUCGUCUUCUUCUAUUCCCAAAUGGUAUUGGUGCAUCACCCAGUUGGUUUUCACAGCUUUUCCGCCAUAGAGAACCAUUAUCUUCUUGCAACCUCUUUGAACACCAUCCAACACAACCGGUUUCGUUCUUCCUGUCUUAUGCCAGCGCACAUCGCCAAAAUCAUCGUCGUGAAUCUUUCUACGCUUUCGAGUUCCUGUGCUAUAAGCUUUGAUUGCUUUAUGGAAGAAGUGAGACACCGUCCCAUCACUCUUAACACCUAAAAAUAGUCAAUUUAAGUGAGAUCAAAUAAUUUUUGGAACUUCUUUGAUGACUGAAAACAGAAAGAAGAAACCUGUAUUGCCUGACCUGGUAAAUUCUUAGGAUGAGUGUAACAGAUUCCAUCAUCUUGAUUGACGGUUGGGAUGAACUCAUCAAUGAAAGGGUGUGAGCUUAACCCUGACAAACCAGAUUUGGCUAGCAAAUGCCAUAUGAUCUCAGGAUCAGAUGGAUCAAAUUUCACACCUCGAGGCAAUCCUGGCCAAUCAUCAACAACCUGGAAAUGUAAAAAACUUGUGUUUACAACAACAACAUAGAAAUAUAAUAUGAGAGACUAGACAUCAAAUGAAACGAAAGAGCAGACAUACAUCACUGUUGUCAAUGACAUGUUGACACUUGGGACAAUGUCUUGACGGGUUGCUCUUCCACACCACUUGGCGAGGAUCGGAACUAGCCGAUGCACUCAUAAUCUUCGUUGCAAUCCGGUUGCUAUCGAUCAGCCAUGAUCGCCUGCAUACAGCAAGAAAAUCAUCCAUUAGUCAAGACACAAGUUUCAUAUAUACUCUACACAAAGCAGAAUUAUCAGAAAGAUGAUAUCAAACACAUAUAUCUACAGUUCAGAAUCAAUUUACAGUGACAUUCCCAAAUACAGGUUAAAGAAAGAAAACAAAACUAAAUCUCCAGUUUCUUGAAAGACCAAACAUGUUUGUCUGCAGAACAUAGAGUCAGCAUAAUACUUGUAAAUGUCAUAAGAAAGCGAAAUUCAAGCACAUUUCUGGGAGAAAAAGUAUCAUAGGACUGGAAACUUCAAAAACCCCAACCUAGCAGUGAAAGACCCAAAUGCAGAUUUUCAAAUUAACCCCUUUCGCGCUUAACUUUCACAUCGGAGAAAUUGAAAUCACAAAGCUCAAUUUUGAUAUAUAAACGCAAACAAAAAAAGAUUGAAACUUUAGUUUGUACUUCGGAAUUGAAAUCGGCAGGAAUCGUACUUAGGGUUUAGAGCCUCAACUAAAAACUCCAUGACAGAGUCAAAAUCCAGAACAUGAUAGAAGAAAUAAAGUACUUACCCAGCCAUUAGAGCUCGAUGAAGAAAAGAUCAGAGCAAAGGAGAAGCAGAAUCUGAGAAUAAACCCUAGACAAGUCUCUCUCGGCGCUAACAAAAAGUAAAAUUGAUAUUUCAAAGUAAGGAUAUUCUCAAAACUCGAGUCGAAAUACUGUUUGCUUAGGUAUGAAAUUAAAGUUUUUAUCUUUUUUAUUGAUUUUAUAUUUGGGUGGAGAAAAGAAAAAGAUUUUGAGAGAUAAUAAAAUCUCGUCCCGGAAUAACUGGGAAGUGGAGAAGAAGAAGGAGAGAGAGAGAGAGAGGCGCCAGUUUAUGUUUUGCAUACAUUCGACGACUUCUCGUUGACUUCCAUCGUAACACGACGCUUGUUGUUAGUAAAGAUCAACGGUUGUGAUGAUAUCUUUUUCCGUGGGUCUAAUUAUUUAAUAAAGUACCUUUUUUAAUAAUACAGUGAUAAAGUAUUAUGGGUUAAUGUCUUAAUGAUGAUGAUAUAAUAGUGUCUUUUUAUGAUAUGCGACACACUUUGGUGGACUUUCCAGAGUGACUAAACUAUGAUUGUAUGUAUCCACAAAAAAAAAAAAAAGCAAAAGGCAUUUAGCGUUUUAUCAUCUUCUCACUAUAUAAAAUACCUUAUUCAUUUCGACUACAAAAAAAGUAAAAAAUAUAAAUGAAAAAAUAAAUACAAACUUGAUUGUUCUAUUAUAUUCUUAAUAUCAUUACAAAUAAUAAAAAUAUUACAAAAAAACUUAAAAUUGAUAAUUUUGUAUAUUUUGGGAUUGCUUGAAAUAUUGAUUUUGUAAUUGAUAAUUGAUGCGAUAUGGACAAUUACUAGUACUUUAGUUUUUUUUUUCUUUUAUAUCUAAAUUAAAUGAACAAAUCUUUAUUUAUAGUAUGAGAAAUGAUGGAUUUUGGUAUAUGUAAAAUAUUAAAAACAGAAAUUACCUUUACUGCAAAAUUAAAUUAUUGUUCAUGAGAGCAAUUCUCAACCAACUUGAUUCAUUGCCCUAAAUUAUUGUUCAUGAGAGCAAUUCUCAACCAACUUGAUUCAUUGCCCAUAAUUUGUUAAAUUAUUUACAAAUUUUACAAUUAUUAUUAUAUUCAAAUAUCUCAACAAGCUAAAAAAUAAAAAACAAUUUCCAAUUAAAAUUAGUAAAUAAUUAAAAACGAAAUUCUAACUAAACUUAGCAACUAAUAUUUCAGAACUUAAUUUAUAACUUCCUUCAUUUUUUCUAUAUAAACAUAAAUUUAUAUGUUAACAAAGAUAUUAAUAUUAAUCAAUAUAUGAUAAUAAUUAUUUCUAUGUAAAAAAUCGUUGGUUCAGAUAAAAUGAAAAGGUAUAUUACAUUACAUUACAUUACAUUAUACACAAGUAAAUUUCAGAUUUUAAAUAAUAAUCCAUAAACUUUGUAAUUUACUAUAAUACAUUUAUUUAAUAAUCAUUUUAUCUUGUACAUAGUGCAAACAAACUAUCUAGUUAAAGAUAAUCUUCAUUCAUUUUUUUCUUCUAUACGAAGCUAAUCAUAUCCCUGAUUAGCUCCAUUUUGUUGAUUCCUAGAACGGUAUUCAGUAAGCAUCUUUCGGAAAAACGCGUGAUGGCGAUGUGAGCUCUUCAAAAAUCCAAAAGAUCCUGGUUGGUUUACAAAGGAGUCCAUCAUCUCCCUUUUAUCCUCCAACCCCUUUCUGGAAAUUAGAUGUGCCACCGUCUUGAUAAGAAUUCUUAUGGAAUAAGAUGCAAGUGACUCAAUGAAUUUGGUAUUUGUGUCAUCUUGGUAUUAAACGAGCUUUUGCUUAUAGUAUAUGUGUAAAAGAUCUUCUGAGCUCUUCAAAAAGUUGAAGUUGAUUCUUUCAUCUCGGGGUUUUCUAGAAUUUAGUGAUAUGAUUAAGAACACAAUAUAAAGAAUGACUCUUUAUUUAUGCUUUACAAACUCUCUCAAAACUAAAGAUCUCAAGUUCUCUCAAAACUCUAAAAAACUCAUAAGUUGUAUCACACCUUGAUACACCCUUUUAUAGAGAACUCUCAAAACAAACCCUAUUAGAACUAUGAUUAGAUAACUCCUAAUAUAACUCUAAAUAACUCCUAGAAUUAUUAGUUCAAAUCUCUUUAAUAAACUAAUGACUUAUUACUCAAGUCAAGCUUAAAUGUUCAUGAUACUCUUCUCAAUCUCCGAGUCUCCGACCGGUGUCUCGAAACGAAACGUGCCGCCAUCUCCCCGAGAUUUCUCAUUUUCAUAUCUGGAGGUGUUAGGUUUUGCACAUCCUUCCUAGACAUUUGUUUUCUACAAACAAAAACACAGAAAAAAAACCAAAUCAGAUUCUUCGUUAUAAAAAGAAAAUCAAUAUUUACUGGUGCCGCAACAAACUAUCAAAAUCUACCAGAAAAAAAAACAAGAAGUGGUCUAUCCGUACCUCAGCCGGGAAGAAACAGCCCUGCCGUGACGUCGUGAAGAAGCGGACAAGUGAGAAACGAUUCAAACGAACAAGAUCCCUCCUGCGCUACGUCGCUACCUAAACUCGUCGUUAGUGUUCAGGUUUUUCAACGGGCCUUUCUUAUUUGGGCCUCUGAUUUGGGUCCAUCAAUUCUCGUUGUAUCUUUUUGGGCUAUACGAAACACAUUAACCAUUCCAUUCUGAAUCUCUGAUUAUGUCAUUUGUUUUUUCAAAGUCUACGACGAUAUCCCCACAUAAAACAUUUCUUUCUUAUACUCAUAGAUGCUCGUGUCGUGUGCUAUUGAAUGUAAAAACACUACAAGAAAUGAAUGUACACCUCGGCGAAAAAAAAGAAAAAAGAAUGUACACCACUUGAUUCGUUGUAUGUGACUGGCGACUAUUAUUAUAAGACAAACUGACAAAGAACAAGACCAAUUGCUACAAACAUCUUCACUGAUAAAAAAAACAUCUUCACUGAUAAACAACAUCUUCUCAAACGAUUCAAGUACAUUUGCUACAACUAGAGUUUCCUUACAGAAACUGAUGAAACCUUGGGCUUGCUUGCUGAUGGGUUUGUAGAUAAAGAUGAAGCUUUGAAUCCUCCUCUCAAUAGGCUUGAUGCGGAUGCUGCGCUUAUUUUCCUUCUUUUUGCUUCCAGCUCCAUUCUUUUCUUGCUCGAUGAGUAAGACGACUCGGGAAAAAUGGAAGAUGCAUGGAUCAGUGCUCGUUUGUCCUUUCGAUUCUUAUCAAACUUGCUCUUGAAUUUCACGUUUGAGGCAGCUUUAAUAUCUUCUUCACUCUUUGGAAGCAGUCUUAUCCCCAAGCCUAGCUUCCUUGAAGCAGUCUCUUCCUCUGCUACACGUUUUCUGUGUCGCUGGUAAAUGAGAACAAAGUGAGAAAGGAGGAUUCGAAAAAUCGGAUUGCAAACAGAGCAAAAAAUUGCAAACUUGGAACGAACCCUAAGUUGUGCACGUAGAGCUUUGUUUAGGGAGUAAUCAUCAGCAUGUCUUGCAUCUGAGACUCGCUGAAGACGGACCAAAAGCGGUUCAGCUGCUUUCUUCUUCUGUAAAUCUACUUCCUGGUGCUCUAGACGAUAAAAGGGGUCUGCAAGCUUUCCCUUCUCUGCAAAAGUUAUUAUCCCAAAGCAUGUCAAGAUUGAAGAAAUAACAAGAGUUGAAAUACAAACAGCUAUUGAGAGAUCUAUAGAGAAUAAAAUCGUAGAAGAAGGUAAAAGAAACCAACCUUGCUCAGCAGUGAGCUCCAUGGUUUCUGCAUCUUCUGCUUCAUAUUCCUCAACCUUCUUCUGGGCACCACUAGUGAUUACAUACUCGCAGUUCUGAGGAUCUGUCUGAAUGACUAUCUCAUGUUUACAGCAUGGUGAUUUCAUUGCAAAGCUCCAUAUCUGACCAUGAUAAGAUAUAAAUCCUCAGCCACAGUUCCAUAGGAAAGAGGAGAAAGAAUGCAGAAACAGAAAUUGAAGAAGUCAUACAUAUUUUAAGUGAUGAUAGAGAAAGGAGAGACUCUCAAUAGUACCUUUGUAGAAUAAUAGUUGCCAACUUGCUUCUUUUCUGCAUUAAAUCGAACACCCUUGGCGAUCAUAGAACUACAGCCACCACACCAUAUAUUAUAGGGCAUCUCGAACCUGAAGAAAACAAAAGCACGUAUGAAAUUUAAACCAAACUGAGAGUAACAAAAACAAAGCUUCUGAUCGAUCAACAAAAUGUACACCAGGGGUAGACUUUAACAUCGAGCACACUUUAAUUACAUUUGAUCAUCAAAUAGGUUCUUUCAUGUUAUACUUAAGGUUUAGCCUCAUCACUCUAUUCAUGGAUCACAGUAGCAAUCUAAUGAACAACAACUAGUGUGAAUCCAACCAAAAGUAGCAUCUCCCUCACGAUGUUACAACUAGAAUGAGCUAAUAAUAUAGUAUAUAAUUUACCUUAUGACCAAAAUUCCCUCGCCAAUUUUCUUUGCCCUCUCUCUGAGAGGAUGCUGUCCUUGAAACUUGUUCAAGGAACCUUGAUCCGGAGUCCAUUCUGGAGGAUAGUAAAAGUUAUCUGCCCUGGCAGCUGAUAGAGUCGACUGCAAAACAAAAGGUACAAAUCGAAAAGAGUUAAAACAAUGAUGAAACUAAAAUCAAUGAACACAAUUACCAGAUAGGAUCCUCAAUAAUCAAAUACACAAGGCAAGCAAUUGAUUAGAUUAGCCGAAUCAUAGAGAAAAUUUUCGAUAACAAGCUAAAACCUUGCAAUUAUCAAAUUGUCAAAACGAAUACAGAAAAUUUUCAAAGUACCAACGAACCAUAUGAAAAAUCGAUUGAGACAAUCACGAAUAACUCUGAAAAAACAAACCCUAGAACCAAAUCCUAGUAUCGAAAACCAUAAUGAAAAAAAAAUUUAGGGCUUCGAAGAUUCAUUACAACAAACAAACAUGGUUUUAUCCCCAAUUUGCUACCACCUCAAGGAGCAGAAGAUAAAUCAAGCGAUUGACAAAUAGAAGGAAAUUAAUUGAAUACAAGGAGGACAAUAAAACUAACCAUCGAGAUUAAUCAAAUCGAUCUUCCUAGUCUCCUCCUUGAUGUUCAAUCGCACAACUCUUGGCUCUUGGUGAAAAGACUUGUAACUAAUCCCCAGGUAACGAAACGAAUCUUCUUCUACCUCAGGAAAACGCCGCCGUAUUGGUGAUUAAUUUCCAACGCGGUCGCGGAUCUCUAUCAUUUAAUUGGUUCACACGGUUUAGGUUAUUCAUUUUAUCUAUGGUCAAUGUCGGUACGGUAAAUGUCUUAUUUUACAAGUUUGAAAAACGCGAAGGGCGUUUAAAUUAAGGGUAAAUUGCAGGCCACACCCGUUGACCAUGUUUUAUUUCCAUGGAUUGUCAAAGUCAAAUGUGGUUUUCACCAUUUGUCUUUUCGCCUGCAAAAUGACGCUUCUGCCCUUGCGCUUCUCUCUUAGCAACUGUUGAAAUGUACGGUUUAGUUUAGCAGGUUUAGUUACGUACACUGUUCCGGUUCAGUUGAAGAUUUUUUGUUCACGUUGACGCGAUUCGGUUCCGUUACAAGUGAGAUUAUUCCGAAGUGACAUCAACAUUUAAUGCCCCCAAAAAGUUUAGAUGUGACUAUUGUCAUAAUUAAUGAAAAAUCAUCAUUACAUCAAAUAAUAUUAAAAAAAUUAUUAAUAAUAAUUAAAAAAUUUUUUGUUGAGAUAAAGAAGAUGAACCCAGGAACAAAGAAUUAUUGAGAACGUACAUUGCUGCUGAAGAAGUGUUGAUCUUGUUUUUGUACCAAGUUUGGAGCAUUGCUCGUGUAAGUAAUGAAGUUCUUUUAAGAAGUUUUUUUUAUGUCAUAUUAGGAUCUUGAUUGUGUUCGAACUCCAUUUUUUUAUCAGAAUAUUUGCAAAAUCUAUAUUUGUUUGUUUAAAAUAGUCAAAUGAUAAUUGGUAUUUAGGUUUAUAAAUGUGUAGUAUCGACAUUCCAUUUGUUUUUUAUAUGUAUAGUAUUUUUCAGUUGCAUUUAAUGUGUGUCUCCUGAAUUUAUGAUGCAGGUGGGUUAUGGAUAUUCCCGUAUUUACCAUGGUCGGUGAGUGGAAAUGCAAAGAAGGAGAAUGGAAAUUUGAACCUGAGGAAGGCAUCUUUGGUCGUUAUGUACGCGUUCAGGAAACCAUGACGUACACGGACUUUGUCCGUACACUCCGAGAGGCUUUCAGUUUGAAGUCCACCGAGAUCAAUCCCAUAAUUAGCUACUGGAUGCCGGGUGAAAUGUCAGUGCUGAUAGAUACUAAACGCCCUCCUGUAUACAUUGACAGUCAGAUGGGUCUCGAGACGUUUUUUUUGGUUCGUGGUGGGUAUCUUUCUCUCAACUUGUUCGUCUCUUUCAAUAAUACAGUGAAGGCGUUCGGGAAUACUGUCUCUAGGUCUCAUGGUGAAGUUUCUGAAAGUGACCGUGUGUUUGAUAGUGCUACAAAUGUUGAUGAAAAUAAUGAGGAUGCAGAGGAGCAAGCCGAUGUUGAAGACGAUACAACAGAAGAGGAUGAAUUGGAGGAGGGCAACGAAGAUGAUGAUGGGUGUGAUGAUUAUCUUGGUGUGGAUGGAUCUAUUGGGGGAAGUACCCUGUAUCCUACCACAGACGGUAGUGAAGGUAUUGGCGAAGAAUACGAUUACAACAAGUGGAACGAUGUAAUAGUAGAAGAAUAUGUACAAGGAAAUCUUGAGGAAGACGUCAGUCUCACUCAACAGACUGCUCAACAUCCAGGGAAAUUCAGUCGUUUAUUGGAAACGUGUACGUACACGGGUGUUAGUGUACCUGGCGGAGAUACAGGGGAAUUCAGUCGUCUCUUGGAAACGUGUACGUACACUGGUCUUAGUGUACCUGGCGAAGAAACAAUCUCUCAAUUGGGUUACGGUACACGCUGCGAAGGGCAAAGGGAUUCCAAUCUUAUUUGUAUAGACGAAGUCACCGGGGAUGAAGUGAUCGAAGGUAUUGGAGCUUCCUCAACUGGGACACAAAAUGAUAAUGGGGUAGUUACCGCAGCUGAGGCUUACCAAGUGUAUAAUGAAUUUCCUAAGUUACAUGGUGGCGAGUUGGCGAAUCUCGGUAACGAUGUUGCUCCUGUGUUCGAUGACUUACUCAAUUUUCGAGCUGAUGAGACACAGGUUGAAAUCAGCACCACAGGCGAAACUUUGUUUGUUGGAAGUGUUUUUAAGAAUAGAAAAGUCCUGCAACAAACAAUGUCUCUUCAAGCGAUAAAGCAAUGCUUUUGCUUCAAGCAACCUAAGUCAUGUCCUAAAACAUUGAAAAUGGUGUGCGUUGAUGAGACUUGUCCAUGGCAAUUGACUGCUCGCGUCGUGAAGGAUUCAGAAAGUUUCAAAAUCACUUCGUAUGCUACGACACAUACGUGUAACAUCGACUCUCGGAAGUACUACAAUAAACAUGCUAAUUAUAAGCUCCUCGGAGAAGUUGUGAGGAGCAGAUACAGUUCUACGCAGGGUGGGCCGCGAGCUGUCGACUUACCACAACUGCUCCUAAAGGAUCUGAAUGUGCGUAUUUCAUAUUCUACCGCUUGGAGAGCAAAAGAGGUUGCAGUGGAAAAUGUACGGGGGGAUGAGAUAGCAAAUUACAGGUUUUUGCCGACCUAUCUGUAUCUUCUCCAAUUAGCUAAUCCGGGUACAAUAACACACCUACACUAUACACCAGAAGAUGAUGGUAAGCAGCGCUUCAAGUAUGUCUUUGUCUCUCUUGGCGCUUCUAUCAAAGGUCUGAUAUAUAUGAGGAAGGUAGUUGUGGUAGAUGGAACGCAGCUAGUCGGACCUUACAAAGGAUGUCUCCUUAUUGCAUGUGCCCAAGAUGGGAACUUCCAAAUAUUCCCAAUAGCUUUUGGUGUUGUUGAUGGUGAGACCGAUGCUUCUUGGGCAUGGUUUUUUGAAAAGUUAGCUGAGAUUGUUCCAGACAGUGACGAUUUAAUGAUUGUCUCGGACAGACAUUCAUCUAUAUACAAAGGCCUAAGUGUUGUUUACCCGAGAGCGCAUCAUGGAGCAUGUGCUGUUCACCUUGAGCGAAACCUCUCCACCUAUUAUGGUAAGUUUGGUGUGUCUGCUUUAUUUUUCAGCGCUGCCAAAGCUUAUAGGGUCAGGGAUUUCGAGAAAUAUUUUGAACUGUUAAGGGAAAAGAGUGCUAAAUGCGCAAAAUACCUAGAGGACAUAGGAUUUGAGCAUUGGACAAGAGCUCACUGUAGAGGAGAACGCUACAAUAUCAUGUCGAGCAACAACUCUGAGUCCAUGAAUCAUGUGUUAACAAAAGCAAAAACUUAUCCGAUUGUUUACAUGAUCGAGUUCAUUCGGGAUGUCCUAAUGCGAUGGUUCGCAUCGAGGAGAAAGAAAGUUGCUAGGUGCAAAUCUUCUGUGACACCUGAGGUUGAUGAGAGAUUUCUACAAGAGUUGCCUGCGUCAGGUAAAUACGCUGUGAAGAUGUCUGGACCGUGGAGCUAUCAAGUGACAAGUAAAUCCGGGGAGCAUUUUCAUGUCGUUCUGGACCAGUGUACAUGUACGUGUCUUAGGUACACCAAGUUAAGAAUCCCAUGUGAACACGCUCUAGCAGCUGCAAUCGAGCAUGGAAUUGAUCCGAAGUCUUGUGUCGGAUGGUGGUAUGGCCUUCAAACGUUUUCUGAUUCUUUCCAAGAACCAAUUCUACCUAUCGCGGAUCCGAAAGAUGUUGUCAUCCCACAACAUAUAGUGGAUUUGAUACUCAUUCCUCCAUACAGUAGACGGCCACCAGGAAGACCACUGUCCAAAAGGAUCCCAUCUAGAGGUGAAAACCGGGUAUGUACUAACAUCGUUCAUUCAUCUACUUGUAUUUUGAGUAUUACCAUGCGGAGAUUUGUAACUUCCUGUCUUUGUCACUUCAGAAAAAGAGACAGAAAAGACUUUUACCAAAUCAGUGCUCACGCUGUCGACAAGCAGGUCAUAACAAGAAGACGUGCAAAAAUCCAAUCUAGUUCCGGUGACAAGUUUCUGAGCCGGCCAAUAUAGUGUACGCUUCUGUGUUUUCUCGGUGUACGUAAGUUUAUAUAUAAUCCACCUGUAACUAUGUACGUUGUGUACGUACGUUUAAACUCUACGUUCGUAUAACUAUGAACGUUUUUGUCUGUGUACGUGUUAAAGUUCAUGUAAUAAGGGUACACAGAGGUGGUUGCUCAAUAUUUUGAGUAAUUUGAAAUAAGUUUUUUGAAAAUCUAACUUAUUCCCCCUCUUAAAUGAACGGAGUUGGAGACAUGGUUGGGUAUAUUGUGGUUGUGUUGGUAUUUCAUGGAAAGGACGUAACUGUUGCUGUUUAUUGUCAAAUCAACGUUAUGAUUACCCUAUAUGACGGUUACCAGGCUAUUACCAAAAAUUUGAAUCAAGUGUAGUUGUAACCGCAUUAAUAACUGUAGCCGUUCCAGAUUUCCUCUAUUUAAGUCUCCUCCCUUCCUUAAUUUUAUCCACAAUCCUCAUUCUAAACCCAUUUCUUGUGCCGGCAGUUAUAUCAUUCACAAAAAAAAAAUUUAGUCUUUCGAAUCGAUUGUUCUUGCUAUCCGUGAGAUGGAGGGGUUUCAUACGGUCUCAGAAUUGUGUCCUCUGAUCACUGGGUGGCGAAUUUAUGUCUUUGUCGUGAGGGUCUUCAAGAAGGUUAUAUCGCCCAACGUCUUCGAACUCGGCCUUAUCCUGGCAGAUUACGAGGUUAUUUCCGUUAAAUCAUUAUGUGUUUUUCUCGUUCAUUCGCUUAACUUAUAUAUUAAACUCUCUACUAUCAUGUUCUGUAUGUAAAGAAUAACCGUAUUGAGGCCACCGUUGAUCGUCGCCUUGCUCCGUUUUACGAAGACCGAUUCGUUGAAAAUGAGUGGAAGACGAUCACCUCUUUCUUGGUCCGUAAGUCAACUGACUUAGUCAGAGCAACAAAGCAUGAAUACGGCAUACUGUUUAUGGAUCGGACCGUCGUCGUUCAUGCCCCACCGAGAUCACCACCAGUUCCAGAUUUCGAUUUCACUCCCUUCGACUACAUUUUGGAUAAAUCUGCUUACAAGAACGUUUUAGUCGGUGAGGAGGAAUAACUCUGACGCUUCAUUUAUUACAUUUUUGAAAAUGUUUGUUUAUUAUCUUUGUUUCUCCAUCAUCUAGAUGUCAUUGGAGCGUUGGUUGAUGUUGGCGCAUUGACUACAGACUAUUACGGUCUCAAACUGAGUUUCAAGUUAAAAGAUAGAUAGUAAGUGUUCUUUUCAUUUGUUUUAUUUACAAUGUCACUCUAAACGCUAACAGUCCUUAUUUCUAACGUAGCAAUGAAGUCUUGAAGUGCGAAGCCCGCAAUCAACAGGCGGAGUACUUGAAUGGUUACUUUUAGAGUUUGGGUAAGGGAAAUUUUGUUGUCGCACUUAGCUUUUGGCGUCUAACCGAACUGUCUAACCCGAAGCUUGAGAGCCAUGGUGCUAUUUCAAAGGUGGUUGCCAAUCCGGACAGAGAAGAAGUUGCGGAUAUCUCGAUGGUGGUUUUUUAGCUAGAGGGAAUGAACCAUUAUUCUCCGUUUUAAUAUAAUAUAAGACUACAUUUCAAUUAAGUUUUCUUUCCCAGUUGUUGUUGUUGUUGUUUCCAUAAGAACCAAACUACAUUUCAAUCGUUGUUGUUUUUUGUUUCCGUUUAAAUUUUAAUCUAAUUUGUUGUUUUAUGUACGUGCCUUGUUUUAUUGUUCAAAUCCUCUCGCAAUGUACGUAUAGUUUCUGGUGUACGCUAUCGUGUACGUAUAUUAGUUUUGGUGCCUUCAACAUCAAAAACUGUUAGAUUUAUACUUAUGUUGUGUACGCAAUUUCCCAAUGUACGAUAAACGAAGUGCACAGUACCGGCCUCCCGCUUGCCGUGCUCGUAGAUGUCAACGGAGUAUUUCUGACGGUAGAAGACCAUAUCUGCUUCUCGAAUGGUUGCCAGAUCCGAAAAAGGGUGUCCAAACGCAAGCAACUCCAGGAACUUCAUCGUGUAUGGCCCGCAAUCUCCUGUAGUUGGGUUUUGAGCAACGGUAGGACAACGCACAUACUCAAAAGGUUCAACUGAGUACGGAGAAAUCAAUACAUCCUGGCACAUCGCUCUGACUAAGUACGGCAUCAUUUCGCAAAUAGGAGUCAUUCUCGCCUUCACAGCCGACUCCCGCGUGUACGAUAUUAAAGCGUCAUACACAGUUAUUAGCCGUUCAUUAAGGUUGAUUCCCAAAGCAACCCAAUGUUCACUCUUCCAGUUCAUCGGAGCAUACACAACAUCGACAUCCUUCAUCCACUUCAUAUUGGGUUCACGGUUUAUGUGAACUCCAUUAGCAAUGUCGGACAGUAAUUUACCCCAUUUGAACCCGUUCUUAUUAAUACACUUCUUGAAGUCGCCCACCCGCUUGGUAAGAAGAUGCGUCAGCAUCAUGUCCAAUACAAUACAUCUGUUUGCUAUCAUUUGUUCCCCGUUCUUGUGCCACAUCAACAUUGCCAUCAUUUCUAAAUGCUGAAAUGUUCAAAAAAUAUAUCAGUGUACGUACACUUCCACGAAAAAUUUAAUCAUCUAUGUACAAUUUAUAACAAGGAAUGUACGUAUAUAAAUGCAACGUACCGUACUUUCGACCCAUUCACCAAGUGUUAGAAGGUUCGCAAAAAAGUCGUUGGGCACUUUUCGAAACCCGAAAAGAGUGUGAAUCCUGUAAAAUCCAGAAGAAUAUUUGAUAACAACCUUAAAAAUGAUGAUUGAGGUAUUAAAUAAUCCAUUUUACUAUAAUGUACUUACACAGAGGGUCCUUUAAUGAUAUUGCUUAAUUCCUCUAUUUUUGAAGGGUCAACCACGUCCAGGGGGUUGUAUGAGACAUUUCCAGCCCUGAUAACAACCUCUAUCUGUUGAGCUGGUACAUCGGGCACCAAUACUGUUUUUGCCUUAAAACCAUGAGGAUGGGCAUCAUCCAGUUCAUAGACAAGUUGUUUCUUCACUUUCUUUGGGGACGAUUUUUUUUCUUCUUUUGCUUCGACAGCAGCAGCAUUGUCUGAUUCAUCCUGUUAACAAAUAUGAUUGUCAACAACAGUUUCAUACGUUUUCCUAUGUUUAAAAUAGGUACAUACAUUAUUUUUAGGAAUAUCGGUCUUGUCUGCUUCAUCUGACCCUGGGUUAGGAUCCUCAGUUUCUACAGACCCCUCGAUAAUACACGGCUCUUCCAUGACUACCUGUGCAAGUUAACGUACACAAGUAUAUAUAAUGUACACAUAUAAUCCUAUGUAUGCUAUUCCGAAAAUAGGAAUUGAAACACACAAAUUGUUACCUCCAAAUCAGUGGCUGCAGCUAAAUCACCAACGGCUUUGGUAUCCAACUCCCGUAUGACCUGCAUAAUAUAAAUUUUAUACAUUUGAACAGUAAAUAGUACAUUUUAUUUGUUGCAAGAGUUAGCUUACAUUGUUAACUACUUGAAAUGGUGACGGGGGAUCAUUGUGGGUCUUCUUAGGUAUUUCAACUUCCAUCACUGUCACUAAUUUGGAUUCUCCUGCCGCCUCAACCUGUAGAAUUUAGCAUCGGAAAGAAACUUUUUAGUAAUGUAUGAAACAAUAUAUAUGUACACAGAACAUAGUGACAAAAAUGUACGUACACUUGUGGCAGGUACGUGAGCUGUGUCUCCAUCAGAAGGCUCAUAAGUUUCUUCUGACUCGCUGCCAUUAGCUUCAGUCGAUGCACUGGCAUCUCUUGCUUCUUCCUGAAACAAAAAUAAUUUGCAAAGUCUUAUGGGCGUACACAUAUGGAAAAAGAACAAGUGACUAACACAUACCUGUGCAGAUGUUGAAGGUAAACCUGAUGGAUUGUCUACCAUCUCUAUGUCAGCAUCAGCUAUUUCAUCGGCCCCUGUAUGGGUACCAACUAAGCCAGGUUCAACAACAUCCUUUGGUCCAUUAUCCUGAAACAUAGGCUACCAUAGAGUUAAGCGUUAGAUAAGUGAAGAAAUUAAUGUAACAGUUAUGCAUAUAGUCAUGGAAAUCUGUAUAUAACGAUUACCAGAAGAUCUACCUCUGAAACUCUUGCAGACACAUUAGAUGGAACUUCUUCCAUCUGGGUGUCAACAGUAGCUUCUUCCACAGGCCUCUCUUCCUGUGUUACAAAGACAGUCCCAGACAUUGAACCUAAGCAGAUAGUCUUACCAACAACAACAUUUCCUCUAUCCUGAAACAUAGUUUAACUAACUUCUUAAGCGAAUAUGUACGUACACCAUUUAAACAGAUUGUUAAGAGUAUUAGUAGACGACAUACCAGAUGGGAUUGUGUGGAUCCAGCAUAAGGAACUAUUAAAAAUCCAGUGUCUAAUAUCUCUUCUUCAGCGGCAGAAGAAUUCAAUCCAUCAUUUGCAGUAAAAUCACUUUCAUUAUUAGCGCCAUCCUGUAUCGAACCAGACAGUACAGUUAUACAUAUGGAUUAUAAAAUAUUUAGCAAUGUACGUACAUGACUUACCUGUUCAUCAAUGAAUCCUUGCAUAUCUUCCUUAUUGGAAUCAGGUUCCUCAAUAGUGUCAACAGCAAAAGAAAAAUUUUUCUUCGGCUUUGAAGGUUUUCUUCUUCCGCCGAAAGCAGUGGUAUGUACUCCAGGGACAUCCAAAUCUUCCUCUUUGGAAUUACAGCCAACAGAAAGUGCAGGAGUGUCCACAUCAUGAGAAACACGAGUCAGCCUUGAAGACUUUCUCGUUCCAGUGCUUCCUUUUGUAGACAUCCUUCUCGAUGGCUUCUUCGCAGUAACCAGUGCCUUAUCCAUAGAAGUAGGUGGUUCCCGCGAAUCAUGGGAAUGUAUGGUUUGUUCUGGCCUUUUGCCUUUUGGAUCAAGGGCAGCACGUAUCUGGUCACGGACAAAGUCUUUCAUAUCUUCAUGCAUUUGAUACAUUUGGUCUUCCAGCUCCUUCAAAGACCUCCUCAUUUCAACAAUAAACCUCUCAGGCACAGGCUCUCCAAAACAAUCCUCAGCAGUCUCUUCUUUAUCACAGUCCAUUUCAGAUUUCUGUUUUUUCAUAGCAGGUUCUUUAGGGCUCGGGCCCGGUGCAUUUCGUUUCCUCUUAACAUCUACAAUAAACCAGUUGCUGCUAUUAAUUGGUUUUCUUCUAGGUGCAAUACCAAAAAAAUUUGUAAAAACAUUUAUACUUAUACUUACCUGUCUCUUCUAGUUGUGGUGGGCGCGACUGCUUUGGUACUCUAGCAUAGCCUCCAACCCAUUCAUCCUCCUGCCACUGGUGCCCAUCUAUCAACAGUGCCUCAAUGUAAUCAACCCUUGGAUCAUCAACUUCAUCAUCCCAUGAAAGAGAUGGAGGACAAACAUUAUCAGCUGGUUUCACAAUAUAGUUGACCUCAACCUACACAAAUAAGUAUGUUAACCAUAGAUAAUGUACAUUUACUUAUUAUGUACGUACAUACACAAUUUAACACACCUCAUCAGCAGCCUCUCACUCCAAAAUGCGAGAUGUCCGGAUUGCUCGCAGAGAGGCAAGACGAUGGAUAGACCUCUCAGCAAAUGUCCUGUUAGGUACAUCAUCAGGUCCUAGCUUAGCAAUUGAUGGGAUUGUUUCGAAAGCUAAAAGCUGGAGAGCUAAUGGGAAACCAUGGAGUGCAUAAGACCCUACAAGUAUACCCCUUAUUAGUUUCUGAGCAUCGUAAGGAGUUUGGAAAUUUGCUAUCCUCCCCAAAGUACGGGUAAAGGACACCCUUCCCCAUGGGUAUUUACAGAAAAACUCCAGGUUCUUAGUCAUCUCGACAGUCUUCGAAGUAGGCCUGUUGGGGUUACUGUGGGCCGCUACCACACCGUCAACCAAAAUAAUAAGAGAUAGUGCCAGUUGCUUCCACCCCUCCAUGCUUUCCUCCUCCUGCAGCCAGCUCACCAAAUCAGCAAUUGUUGGAACCGUGUCCCCAAACCUCUCAUGAAACAGAGUAUUCCAAACACUCUCACACUCAGGUUUCACACUGAUAACAUCAUCAACGUCUUUCUUCUUGGGAUACUUCCCACAUUCCAGCCCAGUUAAGAUACUAAAUUCUCUUAAUCCAAAUCUGAUUGGAUGACCGCCGAAUACAAUCCACAUCUCAUUCACCUUCUUUGUCACUAACUGACGGCAUAUUAGUCCAAGGACAAGCUUAGCAUUGAAAGAUGCCUUGUUUUUGGGUAUUUUAAAAAGUUUCCCAAAUGGAGAAUCGAGAAGAAACUGCAUCUCUGGUUUCCCCUUUAGUACUUUUGCUAUGUCAGAAAUGUACUCCGGUUUAGAGUACGCGUUCAUCUUCGUCUCGGAAGGGUACCGGUCUAGAGCAAAGAGUCUUGGUGGUAACUCUUCAACUGUAAGAUCUUCAGUCGGAGCAACACUUGGACUACCUGCAAUUAAAAGUCAUAUACUGUUGAGCAAACAGAAGUAGUGUACGUACACAGACAUUUUCCAGAUUAUAACUUAAAAUCAUAUUUUUGGCGGAAACAGAGAUUUCCAAUUCUACUUCUCAAUUUUUCAUCCUAAAGAUAUGCUAAAUUCCGACAAAUUCUAACACUUUAAUCAAACAAGCUUUACAAUUCUGAUACACCCAAAGACAACAAACGGUAAAUUAGAGAUUCUAACCCAGUUCCUCCGUUGCCUUUGUCGCAGAGCGUUUUCUUCGCGGGGAAACUCUUAAUACACGCUUCUCCUUCCCUGGACCAUGCUGUUUCCUCGGGACUUCGUCGUUAGCUUUAUUUCCAGCCAUAGCUAAAGAUGCUAUCUCGCCGGAGGUUCAAAUUUCGCCGGAAAAAACAGUAACUUUCUCUUGGCUUCGCCGGGAAAAACAGUAACUUUCUCUUGGCUUCGCCGGGAAAAACAGUAACUUUCACUUCAGCGGAUGUGGGAGUUCAGUGGCACAAUUCAACUACCCAACAAUUCGAAGUUAUGUCGAAUUUUGAAGCAAUGGAUACUGAAUUUCGUUUCGCUUUCUGAUUCUCUCUCAAUCUCUCCGUUAUUCUCUUUUUCGUUUUUUCUCGGUUUCUUCGUUUCAGUUUUUUUUUUUUUGUCUUUUUCAAAACUGAACCGCAUCAACUAAACCGAAACCAACUGCUGUAGGGUUUGGUUUAUGCCGUCAACUUAACCGAUACGAACUGCUGCACGGUUUGGUUUGUGCCAUUAUUAAGUUUUCCCAGGGUAAUUUGGUCCGAAAUUGAAUGAAAAGACAAAACGUGAAAACCAGUUUUCACUUUAAUAAUUCGGUGAGUAGAACGCAGACGUGAUUUGUGUGUCAGCUCCCAUCACUCCUUUUAUCACAAGCGGCUAUAGUUGAGCUCCGGCCAUCUGAUGAUGGAUGAUAUUAUUAUGCGACAACAUUUUGGUGGACUUUCCAUAGACUGAUUAGUGUUUACCAUCAUCAUCAUCAUCAUCAUGAUCUCCUCCCUCAUGUGCUUUUCACAUCUUAAUCUGAUUUCAACAAAUUGUUUUUUUGAGAUCCCAAAUCAUACUAUCAUUUCUUUUCACAUCAUUUGAGUCUUCACACUAAUAUAUAAAUAUUAUGACACGACGACAACGGAGAAAAACACUAUAACAGUACAAGAAUUAUAUUUAUACUACUAAUUGAUUUUGAAUAGAGCUAAUUAUUGUUUUGUCGGGAUCAAGUUCAAUUUUACAAACGUAGAACAUCUGCACUUAUGAAUAAGUUGACUUUUUAAUUAUUGUUUCUUACAUUGAUUCAUUUCAAGCACAGUUGUUAAAACUACAGCUUCCUUACAUUUGCUUGUUGAUGGCGUUUUAGACAAUGCUGAAGCUUUGAAUCCUCCCCUCAGUAGAUUUGAUGCUGAUGCUGCGGUUAUUUUCCUUCUCUUUCCUUCCAGCUCCAUUCUUCUCUUGCUCGAUGAUGACACCGAGUAAUCUGACUCGGGAAAAAUGGAAGAUGCAUGGAUCAGUGCUCGUUUGUCCUUUCGAUUCUUAUCAAACUUGGUCUUGGAUUUCACGUUUGAGGCAGCCUUAAUAUCUUCUUCACUCUUUCGAAGAAGUCUGACUUCUCCCCAAGCCUAGCUUCCUUGAAGCAGCCUCUUCUUCUGCUACAUGUUUUCUGUGUCCCUGACAAAUGAGAACAAAGUUAGAAAGUACGAUCGAAAAUCGGACUGCAAGCAGAGAAUAAUUUGCAAACUUGGAACUAACCCUAAGUUGUGCUGUUUAGGGAGAAACCAUCAGCAUGUCUUGCGUCUGAAACUCGCUGGAGGCGGACCAAAAACGGUUCUGCUGCUUUCUUCUUCUGUAAAUCUACUUCCUGGUGCUCUAGACGAUAAAAGGGGUCUGCAAGCUUUCCCUUCUCUGCAAAAUUUCUUAUCCCAAAGCAUGUCAAGAUUGAAGAAAUAAGAAGAGUUAAAAUACAAACAGCUAUAGAGAGAUCUAUAGAGAAUAAAAUCGUAGAAGAAGGUAGAAGAAACCAACCUUGCUCAGCAGUGAGCUCCAUGGUUUCUGCAUCUUCUGCUUCAUAUUCCUCAACCUUCUUCUGGGCACCACUAGUGAUGACAUACUCGCAGUUCUGAGGAUCUGUCUGAAUGACUAUCUCAUGUUUACAGCAUGGUGAUUUCAUUGCAAAAUGAGAGUAACAGAAACAAAGCUUCUGAUCGAUCAACAAAAUGAAAACCAUGGGUAGACUUUAACAUCGAGCCAAACCAACACACUGACACCAACUCAAGCAAAGUACACACUUUAGUUACUUUCGAUCAUCAUAAUAGUUUCAUGUUAUACUUUGGUUUAGCCUCAUCACUCUAUUUAUGGAUCCCAUAAGCAAUCUAAUUGUGUGAAUCUAACCAAAAGUAGUAUCUACCUCCCGAUGUUACAACUUGGAAACUAGGGAAUCACUGGAAUGAACUAAUAUAGUAUUUGACUAUAUUUACCUUAUGACCAAAAUUCCCUCGCCUAUUUUCUUUACUUUGAUUCGGAGUCCAGUCUGGGGGAUAGUUAAAGUUAUCUGCCAUAUUACGAAGUUUUCUGCAGUCUUAUUUGGAACCUACAUAUUACGAAGGGCUUGAUGUUUUAUCGAUCGUUGAGUCAGCGACUAUCACAGAGCAAAACGACAAUGGCUAUAAAAACUAUCAAAGUAAAGCGACAGAGUUUUUGAUUGUGGUUUGAUUCAUCUCAUCUCUAUAUUUUGUUAUAGUUACUAUUUUUGUUAUGUUGUUUUUAUUGAUAUUCACUUGUGGAUACUGUCGUUGUUUAAUCAAUUUUACAUUGAGCAUCAUUGUUAUGUAGUUAUUAUUGAUAUUCAGUUGUGGAUACUGUCGCAAUUUAAUCAAUCUCACAUUGAGCACCAUUUGAUAUUCUAAUAAUAACAAUGUUUAUGCUCAUACUAUUAUCCUUUUAGAGCUGAUCCUGUUAAUGUUUUUGUUGUUACUCCUUUGUUGACAUUGUUCAUUUUUGUCCAUGACAUUGUAAGCUCACACUGAUAAAAGGUGACACAUUUCAUGGCAUUGUAAGCUCAUACUGAUUAAAGGAUUUGCUACAUGUUAUUAUGUUUAUGUUUCUUUUAUAGUGUUUGGAGGUAAAUCAUUACCCGUCACUUUGUAUUGAGUAUGGUUUGUGGCAAACGUUGCCUAAAGAGGAUGCAGAUCCUUUUUUGCUAGCGGAUCCUCUCUUGCAACCUCGAAUGGCCAAUUUGGUAAGGAAAUGGGAAGAACUCUAUAAGGUGUAAAAUCUAAUUCUUCUACCUUUAAAUAUCUUUGUAGUUGUUAAUUUGUCUUACUAAAUAGUGAAAUUAUUCCACAACAUUUUUCCUCGAAGGUGAUUGACUUUGCUGAUGAUGUCGAAGAAUUUGCUGAUCGGCCAUAUUGCAUGUUUCAUGAGCAUUCCCGGCAAGGACUGAAGUGUGAGUGCUUGGACCGGGUGGUGUUUUGGAUACUUCUGAAGCAAAGAUCUUAGUAGAGAGAUUGGCAGUCGAGGUUGCUCCUGAAGUUUUGCCUUCCGACAUUGCUUCUGCUUUGGCCUUUUGAAGGUUGUUCUCAUUGUUAAAUGUCUUAGAAAAUGUCUUUGUUGAGACGAUUGUUUUUUUUAAUGUUUUUGGGAUGAUGUCUUAGUUUUUAUAGAAAAUAAAUGUUAUAUUAAAUUUCUUCGUAAUUCGUAUGGUUGUAUUAAAUCAUAGGAAAAAAAUUGUUAGCUAUCGGAGAAAUGCAUGAUCACAUAUGGCAAGUGUAUUAUUGUACCUUCAUUUACACGAAUUAGAUGUAUUACAUGAUCAGAUAUCUGACGUCAUGUAGUUAAAACCAUAGACAUGCAAUUCCAGUACACUAAUAAAUUUACUUCGACGAAUAUCAAUAUUUACCGACAUUGACCCACAAAAAUAAUCAAAAAAAUCUUAUAUUUAUUUUUAAUAUUAAAAAUAUAUAUUUUUAUUUGGUGUUGUAUAAUCAAAAACACUUAAUGCAUUAAUUAUCAUAAUAGUUAGUUUUUCAAUUUCAAAACUAAAUUUUAAGUUUAAUAAAAAUAAUUCAUAAGUUUUUAAGAUAAUAAAAUUUGUAAAAGCAGAAAAUCUUAUUAUAUUGGGUUUGAUUCUAAUGAUUUUUAUUGUAGAAAAUAAUUUUUGUGAUUGAAAAAAUUAAAUAGAAACAAACUUUUUGUACAUAAAUAAACCAAACAAAAAUGUAGUCUUUUCUUUUUAAUUGACAAUGUGAAGAUAAGCAAUUUACUUACUUAAAGGAUCCUAAUAAGAUUUUUUGGUUUAAAUUAAAAAAUUUAUCUCUUUAAAAUUUAUUAAAAGUUUUUAUUACACUUUUAGUUUAAUUUUGAAAAUGAAAAACUAACUAUUAUAAGAAUUGAUACAUUAAAAUGUAUAUACAAAAUGGAGAAUGUGUUUUUUUGAUUUUUUUUUUUUUUUUUAAAAAUAUAUUUUAUUAAUAUUUUUGCCCGUCAACGUUGCUUUUCGUUGGAGUCAAUCUAUUGGUAUACCAGAAUUGUAUGUCUAUAAUAUUUAUUACAUGACAUUAUAUAGUUUAGAUUCGUGUUCAUGUAAUAAAUCUAUUUUGUGUAACUAGAAGACAAUAGUAUAGUUAAUAUUCUCAGAUAUUUUGUGUAGCUAGCAAUCUUAUUUCAUAAAUCAUACAUUUAAUUCACUAGUCUGGUCAAAAGUAAACCGAAUGAGACAGGCACUAAUUUUGGAAACGACCAGAAGAGCAUAUGUAUCUGUAACAGAAUAAACCCGUUGGCCUCUUGGUUUAAUCCUUAGAUUUCUGGUUUACUUAUCUGGUUCAAUAAUUUCAUCUAUCGCUACUAUAUGUAAGGCAUAUUUAGCCCUUUUCAGAAAGGUAAUCAAUCAAAACAAACAAAACUUCUCCCAAUCUCUUUCUCUGUAUCAUCGUCACCUUCACUUCCACCAUUGAAUCUUUGUUCCUCGGGUCAUCCUUCUUCCUUUCGUGGUCACCCCUAGACUUUGAUUUACCCUUUCCUCGUACUGUUUCAAUAACCCAGACAUUUUCCUUUAUAAAUCCCGUCUUUACAAGUUGAAUUUGCAAGUCUUAAAAGUAGGAUUAAGUAACAUUCAGUCACCUUUGUUACUUCCUCGUUUUGUUUCUUAAACAAUAUCAACAAAUUUCAAAAUAAAUGAGAAUCCUCGUAGCAAGACUAAGAAACAGUACCAAAAUGACCAUACGAGUAUCACAAUAUAACUACUUUAAAAGACGCUAUUAAGAGAUUGCACAUGACAUGAGUAUCCAAAACCAACAUGUAUCUAAACUCCUCGUUAGUGUUCAGAUUUUCCAACGGGCCUUUCUUAUUUGGGCCUCUGAUUUGGGUCCAUCAAUUCUCGUUGUAUCUUUUUGGGCUAUACGAAAUACAUUAACCAUUCCAUUCUGAAUCUCUGAUUACGUCAUUUGUUUAAGUGAUCGAUCGAUGAGUAAUAAUUCAACUUUGGUCAAUUUCAACUUGAAUUGUGUAGAACGCAAACGUGAAUUGUGUGUCAGCUCCGAUCACUCCUUUUAUCACAAGCGGCUCUAGUGGAGCUCCGGCCAAUCUGAUCUUUUGAAUUUUACACCAAAAAUAAUAAUAAUGGUGUCUUUGGUCAAUUCUUCUCUAACAUGCUCAAGCCUUACUCUGAAUCUCCUUCCCAUUCUGCGUACGGAAACACCUUCACUCUCCAGGAAGCGUCGAGCAGCUUAUGUGGCGGCUACAUCUUCUAGAGAUGUUAACGAUACCGCCGCUGAUUCUUCUCAGAAACUCACCAAAUUCGUCACCUUUCUCGGAAAAGGCGGCUCCGGCAAGACCACCGCCGCUGUUUUCGCCGCUCAGGUAAAGGAAAAAACACAUUUUUCUGAUUUCUUUCUCGUUGCAUUAAUCAAUCUUGACUCAAGUCCUGAAUUUUCCUCGACAUUGAAUUCUGAAUCCUAUAAUGUUUAGAAUUGAGUGUUGUAUUGAUCUCAUCUCUGCUUAGAUUGAUGUUUCUUUUUGCUGUCUUCAUAGAUUGAAUGUGUGGUUGCUAACUAUUUGUCUUUAAAAAUGGCUAUGUACGUUAGCAUUACGCAUUGGCUGGGCUCAGUACAUGUUUGGUGAUACAUAAUCAAGACCCUUCUGCUGAAUUCCUCCUUGGAAGCAAGAUUGGGACUUCUCCUACCUUGAUCAACGACAAUCUCUCUGUCAUUAGGCUAGAAACCACAAAAGUAUGUCCCUUAUUUGUUUGUUUCGAUCUUUGUAUACUUUAGGUCUGGUUCAAGUUUUGAACUUACUUAACAAUGGUUUCUGGAAACAUUGCAGAUGCUUCUAGAACCUCUUAAACAGCUGAAGCAAGCAGAUGCUCGACUUAAUAUGACCCAAGGGGUUCUUGAAGGGGUGGGUAUGUGACACAACUUCGUAUCUGUGAGUUUUGAUAAAAAAAGGUUUGGAAUUUUAAGUCCUAAUUUGUUUUGGCUAUUGUUGUGUAGUAGGUGGUUGGAGAAGAGCUAGGAGUACUUCCAGGGAUGGAUUCCAUCUUUUCAAUGCUUGAACUCGAGAGGCUUGUUGGUUUCUUUAGGCAAGCAACCCGAAAGAAUCACAAGGGGAAGCCUUUUGACGUUAUAAUUUAUGAUGGCAUUAGCACUGAGGAAACUCUUCGGAUGAUAGGUCUAAGCAGUAAAACAAGGUCUAGUUCAUUGUGUUUUGCUAUUCUUUCUGAUUUAUCUGGUGCUUCUUUCCCUUUUUGCAACUCUUAGAAAGUAUGUUUCUUGUAGAUUGUAUGCGAAAUAUCUGAGAAGUUUGGCCGAGAAGACAGAUUUGGGGAGGCUAACAAGUCCGUCCAUUAUGAGAUUUGUUGAUGAGUCAAUGAACAUAAACAGUAAUAAGUCGCCUUUCGAUGGUAUGACAAGUCCUGCCAUGUGGGAUACUUUGGAACGUUUCUUGGAGGUGAUCUAUUUAUCCCAUAACUCAGUGUCUUCAACUAAUUUAGCUCUGAAAUUACAUAUGGACUUUUGCAUACUGUAGACUGGCGCUUCUGCUUGGAGAGAUCCAGAGAGAUUCAGGAGUUUUCUUGUAAUGGACCCAAACAAUCCUAUGUCUGUUAAAGCUGCAUUACGGUAUUGGGGUUGUACAGUACAAGCAGGAUCUCAUGUUUCUGGGGCGUUUGCUAUUUCUUCUUCUCAUCUGACCAGCCAAAUCCCGAAAGCAGAUUUUGUGCCACUGCCAUUUGCUUCUGCAUCAGUUCCAUUUACUAUAACUGGUCUGGAUUGGGACAAAAUUCUGCUGGACCAAGCGAAUUCAAGUAUCCGGGAACUUCUCUCUGAAACUGUAAGCCAUGGGACCAGCUUGACACAAACAGUAAUGUUUGAUACAGCAAAGAAAUUGGUGACUCUUUUCAUGCCGGGGUUUGAAAAAUCAGAAAUCAAACUGUAUCAGGUAAAAAGGAACUUCUCAUCUCCCUCAUAUUCGUCAGUUCUUGUAAAGCUCUCUCAUUUCUUUUACUCAUCUAUGAUGGCAUAAUGUGAUUGCUUGGAAAGAUCUUCUGUUCAUAUGGAAUUAAGAACUGCGAAUGAUUUUUUGUUUUCUUGAUGAAUCUGCAGUAUAGAGGAGGUUCUGAGCUCUUAAUAGAAGCUGGGGACCAAAGACGAGUGAUUCAUUUACCGUCUCAGAUUCAAGGAAAAGUUGGAGGAGCAAAGUUUGUGGACAGAAGUCUCAUCGUCACAAUGCGGUAAUACAUUUUCGAAGAACUAAUUUGUUCUUUUUGUACACCAGAGAUGUGUAGUUUGUCCCCAAACCAAUACAAACUAAAAAGAAUGAAAAUUAAAAACUCAAGAAGACAAACAUUUAGGACGAUCUUGAGAUGAAUAAACGAGUUUCUCAUCACGAGAAUGGCUCUGAUACUUUGGCAAAAUAGCAGCAGUUAUAACAAUGCAACCGAGUAGAGCCAAGCCAAGCCCUAAACCAUUGACAGUCAUUGAUUCAGAACCGCGUCUGGGGACAUUCCUCUUGGUCUGAAGGAACGUCAGUUUCUCAAGCAGUCCGGUCUCAGCUGUGGCAAUGGCUAAACCAUAGGUAUAGAGUCCGAGGAAUACAUGCCAGGGAAGAAACGUGGUUCUUGUAGUCCGUACUUCUCCUCUAUGCCAGAAGCUCAUGAACCCAGUCACCCACUGCAACACAACGUCAUUUUACUAAUCAAUCUUCAAAACUAGUACAACCCCAAUAAAAUAUUUAGGACAUAGAGCAUAGGUUGAAGUGACAGUAAUGAAUGGGUCUAAUUAAUAAAUCGUUUCAUAGUCUCUUAAAGGGAAUCUUGUCAGCUUUCAGCUUCCGUAAACAAAUUAGAAUCUAAUCCCAAGUGGGUUACACAGUUUCUUCCUUUUGUCAUUCUUUGCAUUAUUGUUGAGAAAACAUUUUCUAAAGAGAGAGAAAUCAUAAAGACAGUAACGUGUAAUCCGACCUUUUGAAAUAAUUUAAAUCUUGGAAAGCAUCUAGUUCUUUUUCGAUGAUGCAUUAAAACUUUAUCUCAGAGGCUUAGUGCUAGUAUAAUAUAGAGAUAAAAAUAAUAUUGGUUGGUGGUGGAAAGAGGAAAAAGACGAACCUGGGCAGCGAAGAGAGAAACAGAGAGCAAACCCAUCCAAGAAUGGAGACUGUAGAAAUUGGCGAAAACUCCACGUUGGUAAUGGAACUUUGUCCAAAUCCCAAACACUGCAGAGGCCAAUGCCAUUCCUUGUAGCCAUAAAUGAACAGCUUUCUUUGUUUUCCUUGAACCAGGCAACCAUCUGUGUAUCAGAAUCGCUGCAGAUCAAAACCCCAAGUUCUUGAUAAAAUAUUCAAGAAAGAGAGAGAGAGAGAGAGAGAGAGAGAGAGAGAGAGAGAGAGAGAGAGAGGAAAUCUUCAAAAGGGGCAUGAGGAGGGAUCAUCACUACCUUCUCCACUUACAAGAAUGAAGCCAAUCACCAUCAGCAGAGGAUGAAGAGUCUACAAGGGUAUAAAAACUUUAUUAGAGAGAGAAAGAGAGAGAGAGAGAGAGAUCCAAUUUGAUAUCAACGAGGAAGGGAGUGUGAUAGUUACAGAGUAGCUGAGUCCUAGAUUAGGCAGGAAGAGAGCCCAGUACAGAACCGAAACUGCGACUACUAAACCGGACAGUCUCGCAAACAAGACCAAUGAUAGUCUUGAAGGAUCUACACUUCCCAUUUCUGUUUUCUCUCUUCAAAAGUUGAGUAAGUAGUGCUACUGUAGAGUACAGUGACUACAGUCUCUCAGACACUAGAGUUGCCGACAAAAUGAUAAUUUGAGAAAUAGAGAGGACAUUUUAUGGAUCUUGUAUAAAGAAGACCUCUCUAUCUCUUAAUAAGGCCCAUUUGAUUCAAGGCUGCUGGUACUGUAUUGAAAGUCAAAAUGUUUGACUUUUGAAAUUUAGACAAGAAGCUACCAACAGUAAACAGCAACAAGCUAUUGAGAGUAAAUAGAAAAUGCAUUUCACACCAAAUGUCGAGUAUACAAAAGUUCAAAAUAACAUUGGAUAUAAGAAGAACGACGCUAUUACCAAGUCUUAAAAACAAAGAUCAGAAAUCAAAUUAAUACACUCCAAAACCACACAAGUGGGGUUUUAUAACAGAAAACAUUACACGGGACUCGGUUUUUGUUUUAUUGCCACAUACCAAAAGCACUCAAGAGCUGAGCUCCCAUUGGAUUUUGAGUCUUUAGAGCCCUUUCUAGCAGAACAGUUUAGGUAGUACGAUUUGAUACGCCUCUCCCCUGGCCACGUCCACCAUACCCGUAGCCACCGCCGCCGCCGCCACGGCCACCAUAACCGCCAUAACCACGCCCUCCAUAACCACCACGUGAGUAACCGUUGUUUCGUCCAUAACCACCACGCCCUCCUCGACCUCCUCGGAAUCUCGAGAAUUCACCAAAUGUCUGAAAUCAUAGCAAUACGUUCUGUUAGUCAAUGGGAUUCUCUUACGAUUCUGGGAAUUCGAGUAUCUCCAGCAACGAGGGGGGACAAACUCUGUCCAGUCUGCUUGCUAUUCAGAGUGUGGAAAUAUAUAGAUUGUACCUCAGUAUCUAGUUUCCGUUGCUCUGAGAACCUAGGCCUUGAAUUUUGGGACUCUCGGUCAAUGGUGUUUGAUGAUAGGCUAUCGAAAAAGUCAUCUUUGUUGUAAACAGGCUACAUCAAUAAACAAUGUGGAUGAGACCAGAGAGGGAGAAUAUGGUGGCUUUACUUGAUUAUAAGUCUACUUCACUUACUUUGGCCUCGAUCUUAGGAAGCUCAGCCUCAUCUACAGUCGGGGAAUCAUCAUCUUCAUCACCAUCUAAGGUAGUACUCUUCCCAAGAUGACCCCAUACUUCAUCCUUAUUGAACUUUUCGUUCAUUGCUGUGAAAUCAAAAUCUUCAGUGAAUUUCAUUACUUGGUGUGAUCUCUGCCAACAAGAAGAAUUAUUAGCAUACAUGGCUAAAGUUCAUGAGCUAUUUUAAACUGGUAGAUCUUUUCCUUGGUAAAAACAAAUAAAUGCCGUCACAUUCUACAAAUGAGUGAGAAGAAUAGUACCCCUGCUCCUCUUCCUCGUCCUCUUCCACGUCCCCUGUAACCAUUAUGAUUUGGGAAAGAAUGCCCGUUUGGCUGAGAAAAAAAAUCAGCAAUUGAGUUUAAAUAAUUUCACCAUGAAGACUUAUAAGUAGACAUGCAAAGAAACCAUCUUAUACACCAAAGAACCCUGAGAGAUUUUCAUGCAUCUUCAACAAAGCAAAAGAGACACAGCAUGGAAUAUUAAAAUGGGAAUUACCACAGGUGCAGUUAUAACAGUUACACCUUAUUCCAGCUAACUAAGACACCAGCAAAUUCAAGGUUCUUUAUGAUAUUAAUAAGAGACAUUGAAGGAUUUGGCAUGUUAUGUAAGUUAAAAACCUUCUGAGUUGGUCUUGCAGAGGAAGGCAAUGGCAGUAUUGGAGGUUGGGCUUCGGAUGUAACUGGAACAGAUUGUUCCAACCCAGCUGAUGACGAUACUUGAACCACCUCAACAUCUUUAUCAGCAUUUGUCGAGGGUGGGGACAAAGAGACUGCAGAAGAUCCAGACUGCAGCAGUUGACCAGGAGUAACCAACAAAGGUUUUGGCUUAUCUUGGCUAAUGGAACUAGAAACUCCCGCAACAGGAGCAGAUGUUAAUGGUGUUGUCUGCGGCGGAGAAAUUGGACCAGUUACUACACUAGGCUUGUUAGACAGUGGAAGGCCAGUACUUGCUUCUGUGGCUCUCGUAGUAGAUAGAGAAAACGAAAGCAAAUUAGUAUCCUGAGGUAGGGUAGGAGGAGCAGUAAUAGGAGCUUUGUUUGACAGCAACGGAGGUGCCAUCUCUGAAGCUAGUGAAGGAGAUGGUGCUGAUUGCAGUGUAGACUGCAGGCUAGACGAGAGCGUCACAGGUGGUAGACCAGGGAAAGGCAAUGAACUAGGAGCUAACAUUUGAGAACUGGUACUAAAAGGAAACAAUGAAGAGGGUGCUUCUGGCAAGCUUGACCCCUGCAAAGAUGAUGACCCAGUAGGUGGAGGAGGGGUAUUAAAGUUAGGAUAUUGCAGGGGUUGCUGAAGAGAGUUGGGCAUUGGCAGCCCAUGAGGGGGUCGAAUCAGAGACUGCUGAUGCAAUUGGGGAAGGCCAUUGGGAGGUGGGGUGUAGAAACCUUGCCAAUACAUUGGUGGUUGUGGUGACGCUCCCCAUGAACCAAGAUUUCCACCAGGCUGAUACAAAGGCAUUGCGUUUUGAAAUCCCAUUCCAUGUUGUCCAGGUUGUCCAUUAUGAGAACUAAUGUCAGGUAGUGACCCGCUCGCAGUAGAAGGCAAGCUACCAGAUGUUGGCAUCGGGCUAGGGUAGUGAGACUGCAAAACCAAGACAAGUGGAGGAUGGGGUUACAUCAAUUGACUCCAAAAUCCCAGACAAUGUAAUCUUACAACUUUUCUAACAUUCACCUGAAUUAUAGCAGGGUCAUUAUUUAUAGUAGAUGCAGGAGGCUGAACUGGUGGAGAAGCUUUGACUUGCAAAUCCUACCAACAACAAGAACAAUCAGAGUACAAAAUCGGCAGGCUACUUACAUAGAAGUAUUAGCAUAAUCCUGCUGAAUACCUUGAUAUCAGUUCCACGGAACAAUAUGUACUCGUAAACUUUGUCACUUGGAGGAACUUGUGGACCAUCUUUUUUCCUUCCUUCAGUUCCAAAUGAUCGAACUACACACAACAAAAGUUCAGGGAUCAGAACCAAAAUCUACCUCAUCGACCACUUAAACACUGAUCUUUUAUGCUCAACCAAUAGUUUCAAGACAUCAAUUACAAUUUGAGAACUCAAGUAAUAGACAUGAGCACUAAAACAACAUUCCUUUCAAAUCGAGCUAAACAGUUCAGAUUGGAGAAAACUUUCUUAACGAUUAACGGAAGAAACCAUUAGUUUCUACCAAAUCCGAGAGAAAACACCACCAAAAUUAACACUUAACAAAUCUGGUAAUCCCGAAACGGAAGUGGAAACGGAUCGUACCGUUUUGAAGUCCGAUACUGGAUUCAUCUGUAUUAAUAUUGUAAAGGAUCCCUUCGUAUCUGAUCUCACUCUUAGAUGUCAAACUAAUCAAGCUCCCAACGUAAGAAUCCGCAGCGGAGCUCGAUUUCGAACCCGUAUUAUCAGCCGCCAUAUCCGAUCUAUGUCUCUCUUCGCCGACGAAAUCACAGCCAAAGAGAGAAAAAACUAAAAGACAAGAGAAGGCAAACACACACACACACACUUCGAGUUCCUUGAUCUCCUUCUUCUUCUUCUUCUUCGCGAGAGAGAGAGAGAGAGAGAGAGAGAAAGCUACAGAUACACAAUUAGGGUUUACUCUAAUUUGGGGAGAUCGAGCAUCUCUUUUUUAUUAUCCAUUCCCAUAAAAGCCCAAUUCAGAAAAUAAUAUCAAUCUGACCAUUAUAGCCUAGUAUGGCUCCAUUGACUUCUCUCUAAUCACUAACCGAAGUAUGCCUCGUGUACACGCGAAGGGUUUAUUUCGUAAUUCACCGCCAAUGGUGUGUUUAGGCGAGUAGCUACGAGCCUACUCGAGCCAUUCCAAUCCCACGGCUCGUGUUCUGAUUGCUUACUCUGGUUAGAGUUUAUUAUUUUAUUUUGGUAGGAUGGUUAGAGCUUAUUAUUUACAUAUUAAUCCUAGUAUCAAAUCUAGUGUUAUUCAUAAAUUAAAAGGCCUUUUAAAAAAUGAAUUUUGAGAAAUAUUUUUGGUGAUUUCACCUACAUUUUUAGUUGAAAAUUGGGGUUAAGAAAAUCACACCUUUUUUUGUCAAGAAAAUCACACCUUUUUUUCUCAAGAAAAUCACACCUUUGGAGAGUUUUAAUUAUUAAAAAAAAAAUCAGACCUACAUUUCUUCCUUGUUAAAUGACACUGGUUCGGCACUUUGUAUAUAGGUAGAGAAGUCAACUGAUGCCAAGAAAAUAGUGCAACCAAUGAUUAAUGAUCAGAGAAGAAGAAGACCAAAGACAGUUUAAUUAAGGUGACAAAGUCAAUGAAGCCUUGUUUCUUUAAUGCACUUUCAGUGUUCUACAAAAACACAAACAGGCAAUGACGAAAUAAUCAGUGUAUUUGCAAACCGGGAUACAAUAUCAUCAUCAUCAAAGUUCAAAAUCAUCUGUAUCGUCAAAGUAUAGUGGGAUCUGUUUUCCUUGUUAAGUAAUAUGCACAUUGACCCGUCUGUAUCACUGGAAGAAGGAAUGUACUUCCUUUGAUCUUCUGGGAGAUAAGAGUGUAGGAGUUAGAACGGACUGACCCAGUGAGCCAACUUCAACAUGAAUUCAGGUACAAGACGCCUUCUAUCUACGCUUUUACCAAUCGCUUCUUGAUCGUCUCCCAGAACCACUGUUACUAUAUCUUCAAACAUCUCAUCUAUUCCACCUCUCAUUGGAUCCUAACAUAGAUAACCAAGUUUCUAGAUCAAAAUUCAGGUUCUUGUCCGACAAGACAUUCAUACCUCAAAAAGACCGGCCAUUUUACCUGAAGAAACAAAUCCGUGUGUGUUUUCCCCUCGUAAAGGAUCACUUUUGCUUUGGCCCCAAGCCUCUGGAGGGUUUCCGCAAAAGAUUUACUGCAAAGAUAGUGUAAUAGAAGUUCAAUCAUCAUCUUAACUUUCUGAUAUACAUAAGACAGACAAAUACACACAAAAGUUAAACCAUACCUUGCAUCUGACGGGAUGGAGUAGUCAUCAGUACCAUGGAAUAAAAUAAAAGGUGGGAGACGAGCAAUGAUGUGUUUGAGAUUCGGGUUUUGCACUACUAAUUCAGGAGAGAACUGCCUUAAUGAUUCCUCUCCUUCCAUGAUGCUGAGGAAAAUCAAACGUCACACGUUAAACUGUAAAAAUUUCAGGCUGCUCUACUGGCCAGGUGAGUAACGUAAGCUAUACCAAGAUUCCAAAAGAGAAAAUGCUAUACCUCAGAAAGAUGGAACGGUACAGCCCCCUGCUAUGGAAGUGGUCCACAAGGUUCAAAAGGUUGUAUCUGUAGAUCACGAUCACAAAGUUUGUUAAGAAUAGCCAAGCAGAUGAUGUGAGGCCUCAUCAAAAAAUUUGUUGCUUUAGUUGGGUAGAAGGCAGGAAUCUACUUGCUACUUUGAGCUAAUAUUUGACCAUUACUUCACCGUUCUACGAAUUGCCUAGCAUUUCUACAAAAGACCUUGGUGGCUAGAUAAAAACUGGAGUUAACACAUAUAUAAAUACUCAGGCAAUUAAAGAAACUUGUUUUUCUCAACUUCUUGACAGAAAAAUUUACAUUCCAAUGUAUCGUCUUAUCCUUAUAACUGGGAAGACCAAAAUAACAAGUUAUUAAUCUAGUCAUUUGAACUCUGAGACCAAAAGAAAGGAUUUUGCUUACCCUCCAGAUAGACCAAAAUAAGCAUUUAUUUGUGAACUACUCCAAGAGACACUGUCCCCCUCCCCUGACUCUUUAAUGACCUGCUCUACAAUGGUGCAAGCUGCGAUAUGUGCACCAGCAGACUGACCCAUCAGAUAGAUCCUACACAGCAAAAAGAUCAGAAAUCAGUGAGUAAGAAAUCUAAAACUCGAGAACUUCCAUGUCUAAUAAUUGUUGACAGGACUAGUACCUAUCUGGAUCACCUCCAUACUCAGCAAUAUGAUUGCAAACAAAUGAGAUGCCAGAAGAAGCAUCCUUGACCAUGUCACUAAUAGAUCCUUGCGGAAAAUUCCUGUGUAAGAGGAGAUAUUGCCAAUGAGAUUGAGAAACUCUAAAUGAAUACUGAAGGAGGAUGAGAGGAACCCACCACAUUCAAUGUGCCAGAACAAAGAAAAAAAACUCAAAGCACGCAUAACUUACCUGUAAUCAAUGCAUGCCACAAUAAUAUCUCUUUCUGAUAAUUGCUGUCCUAAGAGAGAACCCCACGCCUUAUAACUGUAUCAACACAAGACAUUCUGUAAGAUAUUUGCAGUUCUUUCUCCUCGUCCUCAAAUGCUUUAGAAUGAAAAUAGUGUCCAUUGGGUAUCAUACUCACCCAAUAAUCCAGGCUCCACCAGUCACAAACGCCACAACUGGUUUUGGUCCAGUAGAGUUCUUAGGUAGAUACAAGUCAAGCCUGAAGAAACCAAAAACCACUUAUACCAACAAACAAAACACAAACCAACUACUAGUCUCUAGAGCAAUAAUCUACACAUGAUUAGAACGAAUAAUAAGCAGUAAACAAUCAUGACCUGUUUCUUGGUUGAUCACCGUAAACUAUACUUCUGCGAACGUAAGGAGAGAAGAAAUAGUAGUAUCCGACUGCAAAGUAAAGUCAAAACCUUUAGCAAUGAAACUUUUAGUAACUAUCUCAAAAAAAGAGAGAGAAAGAUCCCUAAUUAGUAGAUGUCAAACAAACCUUGAAUAAAGCCUGGCAUUAGUAGAAAUGCAUAACACCCAAGUGCCAUAAAUCUUGUAAUCCAUCUAUAACCUACCCUGAAUAAUAGUUUUUGAUCAGUGAUCGAUCAAACCAAAGAUCAUCUUUUUAUAUAUGCCUAAGAAUAUCGAUGAGCCAAUUUCGUCGGAUUCAGCAAAUGUAACAGAUAACGGAGGAAAUAGAUAGAUACCCAAGAUAGCUUAGGAGCUUCAAACAAAGACGGGUCAACAAGAAUGUUUCUGCAGCGGCGUGGCCAACCUCCUGACCAAUAGUAGUUUGACGGUCGCCGCUAUUAUUACCACCGUCGGCGGUUCCAUUAGUAUCAUCGGAAAACGCAGAGAGACAGUUAUCGCUGUUAGAUCGUCGGCGUCUAUUCUGAUACCAACCAGUAAAUCCACCAGCAGAAGAAGAAGAAGACGUCUUCAUGGCCGUGCCGUUGUAGCUGGAAGAGCGGGAGAGGAGAGGCUUAACGGUAGAAGAAAUGGUGUGGUGGUCAUCACCAAAUCGAGAGAGAAGGGUCGUAGAAGGAUCAUCGUAAAUCAAAGACUUGAACAUCAUUUCCGUCGAUGGUGAAGAUUUAGGUGGAAGAUGAUGUGAGAUUUGGAGAAUCUGCGACGGCAUUUUUUCUCACUUCCUCCUGAUCCGUUUUUUCAGCUAUUUUUAGGUUUUCAAUUAAAUUGGCGACGAAACCGGAACUGUAUUUUGAGCACAAAAGUAACUAGGAGGAGAUGCAAUUCAGAACAAAAAGUUACUGUGUCAGUCUUGUUCUCUUAACCACCAGGGAACCAAUCGAAUCCCCUUCAGCUGCUGAUUUUUGUAUUACUAGAAUCUAGUUUCUUUAUAUCUGGUUAGAUGUUAACGUUAAUGUUUAUUCAGCUGCUGAUUUUUGUUUUGGUUACUACGGUUUAAGUUAUUUGUUGAUGAGAAUGUGUGAGGGUUUUAGUUUUAGUUGAUAAGAUUGUUAGGAUUGGAUUUAGCUACUUUGAGAUUGAUUUGACUCUACUUUCACUUUUAGACCCUGAAAGCAAGAGAGAGCUGAAAUGAUGGUCUUGUGGGGAUUGAAGAUUUGAUUAUGAUUAGUUCAUAUCCUUUCCCUUAUGGUAGCUUUUAUUGAAUAACCUGUUCAGGAGGAACUUGAUGAGAGUAAGCAGGCAGAGCAAAACCUACAUGAUGCUUCUUCUUCUAAGGAGAAAGCUCUUCUGAGGUCGUGUAGCAGCAAGCUUCCCCAUCAAGGACCGUCUUUGUUGGGAAUCUGCCAGUAAUCCAACAAAUUAAUCCAGCUUUUAUGUAAGUGCUAACAUUAUUGAGUUCACGCAAACAAAAGUUUUCUUGAACUAACAUUUUGUUUAUAUAAUCUAUAUUUAGUGAGAGUAUUCUUCAAUAAAGUAGUUGGGGAUGUUGUUGAGGUUCGAAUGGCGCGUUUGGCUAAUGGCAGAUUCAUGGGUUUUUGCCAUGUUGUCUUUGAUACUCCUCAACACGCUUUGAAUGUGAGAUUUAUUUUCUUGUGAUUAAAAAUAUUUAAUAGUAUAAAUUUUGAAUUUUGAUAUUUUCUACUUAGGCUCAAGCCUUUCAAGGACUUAAGCUACUCGAUCGUCAAGUUUCCAUAUAAACAUAAGAAAUAUGGGAUUAAGAUCUAGAAGCAUUACCAUCGGUCCCUGAUCAUGUCGUUUUAGUUCAAUAUCUUACUACUGUCUUUUUGAGAUUUACCAUUAGCCUUCAAAUCAGCAUCCUACAAUAAACACACAGGAACGUUAUACCACAAAAUUAUUUAUCUAAGCCUGAGCGAACAUGCAGACAGAAGAAACAAACCAGUUCUGCUUCGACUUCAGCCAAUUCUUCUGAACCCCUUGCAACAAAUUUGAUGAAGAAUUGUUACCCUCCUCCUUCUUUGAAACCGUCCCACAAAGACAUAUUAUAUUCUUACAGGCAUAUUUAAGAAUCUUGGACAUCAAAAAGAACUGUAGUUGUUUAAGUUCUUGUUCCCUUUGAUAUUACUACUAUCCAUUCUCUUGACAAAAUUUAGUCAUGCCACCACGAAAUAAGUCUAGAUUUUUUGGUUCAUGUCCGCUUUAAAUCUUUUAAUUAAGAAAUUGAUUUGCAAUAUUGUCAAAUGUUGAUUAUGUCAAGAAAAUCUUGGCAUUUAUUCGUUGUUUUUUUCUUCCUCGUUUGAGAAAAAAUUCGAUUCUAGAAAACGAAGUCUCCUUCGAAAGGUCAACCAAUCAGAAAUUCAAAAAGUCUAGAAAUGUUGAUGGUAGAUACUCUCUGGUUUCAAACAUUUAGGUUCAUGCAUUAAAAAAACCCCAAGACUUUUGGUUCAUACAUUUAAAAGUUAAAACCCCAGUUUCCCAAUUUAGUGGAUUGCAAUUUUAAUUCUUACAGAUUUUUAGCAUUCAGAUUUCUUUCUGUUAUAAAUUUUGGACAAAAAUCUAAAACUCUGAUAUACCCCCACUAGAUUCCUCACCAGAUUUUUCCGAGAAAAUUUGUCAGUUUCUCGGGAAAUCAAAAGGUGGAGGACUCAUAAACUACAACGUCGGACUCUAUCAAAGGUAAAUGAAUCGUCUCUUCUUCUCACUUUCUCCAUUUCCCCACAAAGUUUUAUCCUUUCAACAAUUUGAUUUUCUGGGUUUCUCUGUUUUCAUAUGUUCUCGUCGGUUUCGCAAAUCAAUCGGCAUUUUAUAGAAGAAUAAUCCAACUUUCGUCAGUGUAAUGCUCUUGAGACUUUACAAAAUUUGGCCUUUCUUGUUCGUAUAGACAUUCAGGGUUUUAGAGAUUCUGAAAGUCUGAAUCUUUUUUCCGAUCAGGUGUGAAUUGAGAGACAAUGGCGACAGUGAGUGGAAGGAGACGCAAAAGGAAGAUACAAUUAAGCAAGCUUUUCACAUUAACAGGUGCUAAAGCUUGUUUCAAGCCUGACCAUUCGAAAAUUGGACGAUCUGGUUUCUCUCGUGUGGUUUUCUGCAACCAACCUGAUUCCCCUGAAGCUGAAUCAAGGAAUUACUGUGACAAUUAUGUGAGGACCACUAAGUAUACCCUCGCCACUUUCCUCCCUAAAUCAUUGUUUGAGCAGUUCAGGAGAGUUGCCAAUUUCUACUUCCUUGUUGUUGGGAUCUUGUCUUUUACUCCUCUGGCGCCAUAUACCGCUGUGAGCGCCAUUGUUCCGCUGACGUUCGUCAUUCUCGCUACUAUGUUUAAAGAGGGUGUAGAAGAUUGGCGCCGGAAACAGCAGGUACUUUGACUGAUUGAUUUUGUCUGAGUGGUUGUUGUUUGAUUAGAGUUUGCUUAGAUGAUCUUAAUAGGAUGGUCUGUGUCUAGACAUUGUUUGAUAACUUGUUACGAAAUCUGGAGUUCUAUGUUGGAUUAAGCUACAUUACACAGAACUGGAUUAAGCUAAAUUGUUACGAAUAGUUGUCUUGCUUCUGCAUUCGGUUGGAUCACUUUAUUAUUCAUUUGUUGAUCGAAAAACUUCUCAUUAUUUGGAAAUUUUCAUUCUUUUAGGAUAUUGAAGUGAAUAACAGAAAAGUUAGAGUGCACCGAGGCAAUGGGAAUUUUGAUCUUAGGGAAUGGAAGACACUAAGAGUUGGGGAUAUAUUGAAGGUAGAGAAAAACGAGUUUUUUCCGGCAGACCUUGUCCUGCUUUCUUCUAGCUACGAGGAUGCUGUUUGCUAUGUAGAGACAAUGAACCUUGACGGGGAAACAAAUCUGAAACUUAAACAAGGACUAGAAGUAACAUUGUCAUUGCGUGAAGAGCUCAAUUUCAGGGAUUUUGAGGCUUUUAUCAAAUGUGAGGACCCGAAUGCUAACUUAUACUCGUUUGUUGGUACUAUGGACCUUAAGGGAGAAAAGUACCCUCUCUCACCACAGCAGCUUCUUCUGAGGGGCUCAAAACUCAGGAACACAGACUACAUCUAUGGGGUUGUUAUCUUCACAGGACCUGAUACAAAAGUUGUCCAGAAUUCAACAGAUCCCCCUUCUAAGAGAAGCAUGAUCGAGAGGAAGAUGGAUAAGAUUAUAUACCUGAUGUUCCUUAUGGUAUUUUCAUUAGCAUUUUUUGGUUCAGUUUUAUUUGGAAUAUGGACGAGAGAUGAUUUCCAGAAUGGCGUGAUGGAAAGAUGGUAUCUGAAACCGGAUGAUUCCAGCAUCUUCUUUGACCCAAAGAGGGCGCCAAUGGCUGCAAUAUAUCACUUUCUAACGGCGCUAAUGUUAAAUAGUUAUUUCAUUCCUAUAUCCUUGUAUGUGUCGAUAGAGAUCGUUAAAGUUCUUCAGAGUAUCUUCAUCAAUCAGGAUAUCCAUAUGUAUUAUGAGGAAGCUGACAAACCGGCACAUGCACGUACUUCCAAUCUGAAUGAAGAACUUGGGCAAGUGGGUACGAUACUUUCAGAUAAGACAGGAACAUUGACUUGUAACUCCAUGGAGUUCAUUAAGUGUUCUAUUGCUGGGACAGCCUAUGGACGUGGUGUUACAGAGGUGGAGAUGGCUAUGGAUAAGAGAAAAGGUUCUGCUUUGGUGAAUCAGAGCAAUGGAAAUAGUACCGAGGAUGCUGUUGCUGCAGAACCGGCUGUGAAAGGAUUCAACUUUAGAGAUGAAAGGAUAAUGGAUGGAAACUGGGUCACGGAAACGCAUGCUGAUGUCAUUCAGAAAUUCUUUCAAUUACUGGCAGUAUGUCAUACAGUCAUACCUGAAGUGGAUGAAGAUACAGGAAAGAUCUCCUACGAGGCUGAAUCACCGGAUGAGGCAGCAUUUGUUAUUGCAGCAAGGGAGCUUGGGUUUGAAUUUUUCACUCGAACUCAAACAACAAUAUCCGUCAGAGAGCUAGACCUGGUGACUGGGGAAAGAGUUGAAAGGUAGGUCCCUCGUUUCUUAUAUAUUGUAGACCAUCAUAAGCUUCUGUGCCUUUCUUGCUUUAGUGAAAGUGGUCCCUUUGCAGGUUGUAUAGUGUCCUGAACGUUCUUGAAUUCAGUAGCUCAAAGAAGAGGAUGUCAGUAAUAGUGCAGGAUCAAGAUGGCAAACUACUUUUACUUUGUAAAGGGGCAGACAGGUGUGGAUCCCGACUUUAGAAAUUCAGAUAUAAUAUCUUUGCAAACUUAUUUUUAACUUCUUUUAUCAUCCAGUGUCAUGUUUGAAAGACUUUCCGAAAGUGGUAGAAAGUAUGAAAAGGAAACCCGGGACCAUGUGAACGAGUAUGCUGAUGCUGGAUUGAGAACUUUGAUACUUGCCUAUCGUGAACUCGACGAGAAUGAAUACGAGGUAUUCACUGAGAGAAUCAGUGAAGCAAAGAAUUCAGUUAGUGCUGAUCGAGAAGCACUGAUAGAUGAAGUAACAGAGAAGAUUGAGAAAAACUUGGUUCUUCUUGGAGCUACUGCUGUUGAGGAUAAACUUCAAAAUGGGGUAAGCUAAUUUAUAGAUUGGUGAAUUUUCCAGAGUCGAUCAAGAAGAUUAAAAUUCAUUUUCUUUCUCUUACCUUUUAAUCUUUUAUUCAGGUUCCUGAUUGCAUUAAUAAGCUUGCUCAAGCAGGAAUAAAGAUUUGGGUUUUGACUGGAGACAAGAUGGAGACUGCCAUCAAUAUUGGGUAUUGAUUUCUUGGAACAACCUGAUUAUUUUUACUCUUGACCCUUGUGCAUGCAAUCUUAGUCACUCUCUAAACCCACCUAUGUAUGCAUAUCUUUCACAGCUUCGCUUGUAGUUUGCUCAGACGAGACAUGAAGCAGAUAAUAAUUAACUUGGAGACUCCUGAAAUCCAGCAGUUGGAAAAAUCCGGAGAGAAAGAUGCCAUUGCAGCGGUAAUACAAAUUUUCUAGAACACUGAUAUUACUAGUAAUAGUAUAAGUGAUCAUGUAGUAGUGUUACUAGUGAUUAUGUAGCUGAACGAAUUCCAUUUGACUAUUUUUUGCAGGCUUUAAAGGAAAAUGUACUGCAUCAGAUAACUAGUGGAAAGGCUCAACUGAAAGCGUCUGGUGGAAACGCUAAGGCUUUUGCUUUAAUCAUUGAUGGGAAAUCACUUGCUUAUGCAUUGGAGGAAGAUAUGAAAGGCAUCUUCCUUGAGCUGGCCAUUGGUUGUGCUUCAGUGAUUUGCUGCCGUUCAUCACCAAAACAGAAGGCACUGGUCAGUUCUUACUUUAUCUUAUUAUCUUCCAUCAUAACUGUCAUCUACUUAGAGGCUACCUAGCUUUUUCUCAAUACUCAUAUUGCAUAGGUAACAAGACUAGUCAAAACUGGAAGUGGUCAGACGACACUGGCAAUUGGCGAUGGCGCAAAUGAUGUUGGAAUGCUUCAGGAAGCAGAUAUAGGAGUUGGGAUCAGUGGCGUGGAAGGAAUGCAGGUUCGACAAAAGAAUUACAAAACAACCAUUUCGUCUAUUGUUGUUGAGAUUUUUCCUUGAUGAAUCCUAAUAAUUUUCCAGGCUGUAAUGUCUAGCGAUAUUGCCAUUGCUCAAUUCAGAUACCUGGAGCGUUUGUUACUGGUCCAUGGGCACUGGUGUUACAGACGGAUCUCAAAAAUGGUAUAAGUCUAAUCUACAAAUUUAGAUUGACACUGACCUUCAGUCUCAUUAUCCUUUACUGACUAGUUUUAUCAAUAUCUGUGUUCUUACAUGCAGAUUUGUUAUUUCUUCUACAAGAACAUCACAUUUGGUUUCACUCUGUUCUUAUAUGAGGCAUACACAUCAUUUUCAGCGACACCGGCUUACAAUGACUGGUAUCUAUCUCUAUAUAGUGUCUUUUUCACGUCUCUUCCUGUAAUUUGUUUGGGCAUCUUCGACCAGGAUGUAUCUGCACCGUUUUGUCUCAAGGUAUAUAUUUAUCAAAUCAAAACAGCUGCUUAAUCUUUCAGCGGUCAAGUGAAUUUCUUAACCAAAGUUUUGCUUUGUUUGCUGUCACAGUUCCCCGUAUUGUACCAAGAAGGUGUACAGAAUCUCCUAUUUAGUUGGCGCCGGAUACUAAGCUGGAUGUUCCAUGGCUUCUGCAGCGCAAUAAUCAUUUUCUUUCUGUGCAAAACCUCUCUUGAAUCUCAAGCUUUCAACCACGAAGGGAAAACCGCAGGGAGAGAUAUUCUAGGGGGAACGAUGUACACAUGUGUGGUGUGGGUUGUGAGUUUGCAGAUGGUCUUGACGAUCAGUUACUUCACAUUGAUCCAACAUGUUGUCGUUUGGGGAUCCGUUGUUAUAUGGUACCUUUUCCUGAUGGUGUACGGAUCCCUUCCAAUAAGAAUGUCUACAGAUGCCUAUAUGGUCUUCCUUGAAGCUCUUGCACCUGCGCCUUCGUACUGGAUCACCACUCUCUUUGUAGUGCUAUCGACAAUGAUGCCUUACUUCAUCUUCUCUGCUAUUCAGAUGAGGUUUUUCCCAAUGUCACAUGGAACCGUACAGCUGCUUAGAUACGAGGAUCAGUGCAGCAACUCUGGGAACUUUGAAAUGGGGAGGCAGGGAUCAGUGAGGCCUACACUGGUCAUGAGAUCUCAUCAGCCAGAAUCUUGAUAACUGAUGAACGAAUACCGAUAUUUAUCUCGUCAGAUGAUUUGGGCUUUAGUUACUUUGCAGGAUGUAAAUAAGCUAAUCAAACUUUAGACUGGAGGAGAUCCGGUACAAGACUGGAAGAACAGAGGCUCUUUAACUGGUUUGUAUAGCAUAAAAAAGAAAACAAGAGUUUAUAGAGAGUUCUGAUUAUUGCGGCCUUGACCAGUAAAAAUAAAACAAGAGUUUAUAGAGUUUGUAUGUUAAGAAACAUCUAAUUAUAUUAGAAAAUAGAGGAAGACUAUACAUCAGUUUAGAUCAGAGCAGAUAAAAGAUAUACAGUAACUUUGUCUUCGUUACAUUUCUCUUCUUUUGAUCAUUUGAGAAAUGAGAAUUGCUUUUGUUUGAUUCUUGAUUCUUGAUUGAGUAACAACAACGAAUGCGACGAGCAAAUGCAAGGAGUACAUAACCUUUGUUUUGUUUUGUUAUGAUUUGAAAUCGAAAAUGUCAGAAGAAUCUUCAUGGCGCCAGAAGCUUCCAAACAAGAACCCUUUGUUCAUGGACAGUUCCUGCAACAUUCUAUCAAUAUCUUCGAAGCAAAUUGAUCUUGAUGAGCCUUCUUCAAAGGGAAACCCAUUUCCAGACCAAUGCUCCUCUUUGACAUCCUCCAUUGUUGGUUGCAAGGUUUUUCCACAUAUUCUCUUCACAAACUUCUUCAUCUUCUUGGCAAGUUUACGAGGGAUCUUGAAGAAGAUGAAGACACUGACUUGUAAGACAAGGCACUGGCAGCAACAUGAGAGGACAACACAGUCUGCUGCAAAUGCACCACAAUCUUCUUCCAUUACUCUGAUAUGCACAAAACUGCAAGGUUACAAAGAUAAUAUAGUCAUAUAGAUAGAUAGAUGAUAUACAUAGAAAUGUAUAUCAGUAUCACAUGGGGUUCGAGACAUAUUUACCGGCAUAUUUAGGAAUCUUGGACGUCAAAAGAACUGUAGCUGUUUAAGUUCUUGUCCCUUUGAGACUAUUCCCCAACAUGAAGGUGGUUCGGAGAAGGGUGCAUCGGUCUUUUCUAUCUUAUAUUUGGCAAAUCUAGUCCAUUUGACCAUAUGUAUCAUGUGACAGAGACACACGUAAUGAAAAGUUUGGUAAUAUAAAGAAGUUUGCUGAUUUAUUAUUAGCAUAACAUUGAGAGGACGUGUAGUAACAUCACAGCAGGAAGAAAUAGAGGACGUGCAGUGUCCAACACAACAUUUUGCUCGUCCCAUUUCCUAUCAUGUUUACCCACAGAUUCGGACAAGACGAAGCUGAGGACCGGCAUUUUAAGGUUUGAAUCUUUUUCGGUGAUCGGAAAUGGUUCUACUUUCAGAUAUGUUUUGUGGCAAAAUCACUAUGCCGCUUAAACUGUGCAAAUAUGUUCAUCCACAUAAUAUUCCAAAACCCGCUGUUUCUGCAAUAGUAUCGGCAGAGAGGAAACUGAGGAUCCCAAUUUGAAGUUAAUCAAGAAAGGUUCUGCUUUGAGAUCUCUUCCUCAGAAAAAUCAUUCUGCAAUGUGUUUUGUUUCUCAUAUUUACAAGUUUUCAUCUUUGCUUAUAUAACUAUUACGAGUUAAAGAAUCUGUACUGUAGUUUUGGCUGCCAAAAGCCAUUCUUCUAAACAAUCUGAUUUCUGCAGACUGUUGAGCUGAGUUGAUUAUUUCGCUUUCGCCUAGUCUCAUUCCAUUGGUGAGGUCUUCCUCAGCUAGACUGUCGAAAGCUCUCACAAUCUGUAAAAAAUUGAUGUGAGUUUCGAUUUGGAAAGAAGAAAAAAAUCUGGCUUAUUAAGAGAAGGUCUGUACUUGACUCAUUCGGGGUCUCUUUGUAGCUGAAUGGCGAAUACAAGCUGCCGCUGCUUCAAUCAUUCUAAACAUUUCAACACCAACAUAGUUUCUACCUAGCUUGGGAUCUGCUAAAGCUGUAAACUCUUCGGUUUCAGUGGCAUUACUAAGCAAAGGACGAGCCUGAAACAUUCAACACAAACAUUGGAUUGAAGAAACAGUUCCAUUCUCAAAAGUUUAAAUGCUUAUUUAUACCAUACCCAUUCAACAAGGCUCUCAUCUCCCAGAGGUUGGGAUGCAUCCACAGGCUUACGUCCAGUGAUUAACUCCAGUAGAACAACCCCAAAGGAGAAUACGUCUGAUUUCUCGGUUAAUUUGCCACUUGAUGCAUAUUCCGGAGCCAUGUAGCUGAAAACAUUUACCAAUCGUUUAUAAGAUGGAACAUAUACAGAAAGAAGUUUUGCUCAUGAGCAAUGUCAUAUGGGACCUUAACCAGCACCUACCCGAAUGUUCCCAUGACCCGAGUUGUAAUAUGUGUGUUACAGUCGAGAGCUAGCUUUGCAAGGCCGAAGUCAGAAACCUACGAAUAAGAUUCUAACCAGUGUUAGAACCCAUGAUUUUUAAUUAAUCAGCAGCUUUGCAAAUUCAGAAGAGCAGAUGAAUGUAUACCAGGGCAUGGAAGUUAUUUUCUAAGAGAAUGUUGGAUGAUUUGAUGUCCCUAUGUAUGAUACGAGGGUGACCUGUAAAUGUUUUACCAUUAAAAUCAUUCAUCAAAUAAUAUGUAGUCCCCAAGAACCAAAAGAAUAACAUAAAGAAUUUGAUUCUUUUAUCCAUAAAUUUUUGAAGAGUUGUAGCAACCUACAAUCUUCAUGGAGAUAAGCUAGUCCACGAGCCGCACCAGCAGCAAUUUUAACACGUGUUGCCCAGUCUAGACCCGGAGUUCCUGCGGCUAAAGACCAUGGAAAGAUAGUAAUAAGUAAAUGUGGUUUGGGUUUGUGCUUUUAUGUCUAGAAAUCUUACUUACCGUGAAGAUGGAAGUAAAGGUUGUUGUUAGGGACAUAAUCAUAAAUAAGCAAUCUCCGGUUCUCGGAAAUGCAGUAUCCAACCAUAGAAAGCAAAUUCCGGUGAUGUACCCUGCUUAUGGUAUCAACCUCGGCUUUGAACUCUCGGUCACCUUGUCCUCCACCUAUUUUUAAUUGUUUCACAGCAACCACUCUUUCAUCUGGUAAAACUCCUUUAUACACACGACCAAAUCCACCUUCACCCAAGAGAUUUUCAUCAGAGAAUCCAUUUGUUGCUAUGACAAGUUCUUCAUAUGAGAACAGUUCCCUCGAUUGACCAAAACCACCAGGCUCUGAUUGUGAUAAGUAUGUACGAUUGCUAGAACGAUUUCCCACUAGAGGUGCGGAUGACUGCGUCUUCAGAAGCGCUGAAUCUGUAUAAUAACAAAGAUAUGGAGAUGAAAAUCCAGAAAUACUGAUGAUAAUCAAAAUAUACAUAGCAAUAUCCAUACUUAUGAACUCUUGACACAAACUAUCUUAAUCUCUGAAUAACUAUGAACUCUUCAGUUUAAAGUAACAUGUCUUAAUAAGAUUCAAACAAUCAAUUAUACAAGGAGACUUCUUUCUGCCAUGCUUGCCAAGACAUUUAAGGAUGGCAAAGACUAACUGCCUUAUAAAAGUAGACGAGAUUAAGAUUACCUGAUCUUGGGGAGGAGGAUUCCAUAGGUGUUGGCAUAACAUAGCCACCACCAAUGGUUGAGAGCCUCUUUUUCCGUUUCUUUAAGCAACAGACAACAACUCCAAUGAGAGUAAGCAGCACAAGGGCCACUCCAAUACUUACACCCACAACAGCCGCUAUACUAAUACCAGAACUGCUGGAAUUAUCUGUCACAGGAGUGGGGUUGUUUGGAGAUGGAUUAUCAGGACCUGACACAGAUUUUCGAGGAGGCGAAGGCGGGGAUACAACUGACGAUGGUGGAAGCAAUGUUGGUGGUGAAGACGAAUUAGAAGGUAAGGGAUCUGGACUUGGCUUGGGAGGUGGGAGAGUUUCCUCUGGUGGAGAAGGAGGUGAAGGAUGCACAGGACGUUUUGAGUCACUUGGAGAAGGAGGUGAUGGAGUAGGACGUUUAGAACCCGGUGGAGGAGGUUGCUCACGACGUUUUGGAUGCCCUGGAGGAGGAGGAGAAGGAUGUUCUGAAUCUGAUGGAGGAGUUGAAGGACGUUCUGAGGCUGGUGGGGAAGGUAAAUGACGUGGAGGAGGAGGAAUUUCUGAGGCUGGCGGGGAAGGUAAAUGACGUGGAGGUGAAUGUGAUGGUGGGACUAACUUAGGUGGUGGAAGUGGAUUGCUUGGAGGGUCUGGUGCAGGUAGUGAAGGAGGGCUUUCCGGUGGUGGUGGUGGAUUUGUUGGCGGGCUGGGUGAUGUAAUAGGAGUAGUAGGAGGAGCUUCAGUUGGUGGAGGUGGCGGGGGAGAAGAUUCUGGUGGAGGUGAUGAUACUGGAUUCGCUGGAGGAGGAGCUUCAGUUGGUAAAGGUGGUGGGGGAGAAGGUUCUGGUGGAGGAGAUACUGGAAUCGUCGUCGGAGGAGGUCCAGUUAGUGAAGGUGAUGGGGGAGAAGGUUCUGGUGGUGGUGAUGAUAGUGGAGUCUCAGGAGGAGGAGAAGACUGAGCUGGGGUGUUUGUGGUCUCUGGUGGAUUGCCAUUAGUGGGCUCUCUAGU
rnacentral:lncRNA from 1 species